UGGAUGUGGCGAGGCGUGGUCAAUAACAUGAGGCUGGUCGAAAUUGAUGCCCUUAAUAUAGGGGUACUUGGAAGUGAUGGCUUGAAGAGUAACGCCGAGAUUGCCACCAACAUCGACCAGUUGCUUGAUGUUGUCGAAGCCCUUGUAAGAUUCAAGAAUGUUGCUAAGAACCAGAGAGGUAUAGUUAUACAUUGUUGUGUUAAAAAGUUUAUUGAACCUAGGGUCCAAUCCUGCGUACUCAAAUAUACGCAUUCCAUGGGCUCGAUUAAAUGGAAUUCCUCCUUCAAGAAUAGCAUCUUUGAGUUGGGACCUACAAAAAUUCCGAAAAACCAAUUUAUCAUGCAUCGUAUAUAUAAAAGCUCCAUGCAUGCAUGCAUGGUCUAGCUGAUCAUUUACUGAGAAAAAGAGAGAAAUAGAAAUUAAUGAAUUACCAGCUCUCCAGAAGGACCUUGUCCUGAAUGAAUUGUAUUAGGGAGCCUAAUAAGACGCCAUCUUUGUUAGGCACAUAGUAUUUGGAGACAAUAUUCAAACUAUAUAGUCUUCGGGCACAAGAAGUAUCAAGUGAGCAUUCAACAACACUGUAGCUAGCCAGAAGCCUGAGAAUCCGAUCCAGCAUCAUGGGUGCGUCUUUGUUCUUAGUGAGCAACUGGGCUGCAAUAUCUGAAGCAGAGAGCUUUGCACCAGGACCAGCUUUGUCUAUGAUCUCGAAAAUGCCUAGCUCAUACACCGCUUGCAUGGCCAUGGGUAGCACUGUACCCAUCGCCAAUUGAUCAGCAUAUGCAAAGCUUUGGUCUCUUUCUCCAUCAACUAUAGAAUCCAUUUUAAGUUUCUUGAAUUUCUUCUAUGCUUUGCGGGGUUUCUUGUUUGGCCAGGGGGUUAUAUAUAUAGACUUGUUCAUUCAAAACUAUUAGGAGAAGCAUGUCAACCACAUGUUUUCUACUGUAUCAAAUCAUAGUUUGAUGAGGGGCGUCUCUUCCUCUAGGUAAUUUAGGCAAUUGCCUAGGGCCCACUGUAAAUGAAGGUCCCAAAAUUUUCUCCAACAUUAUAACUAUUAAAUUAUUCAUUUAUAUUUAUAUUUAUUAUUCUAUAAUAAUCUUUGUUCAAAUAAAUUAUCAAAUUCCCACAAAAUCUCUUUUUAAUGUUGGAAUAAACAAUUUUAAUUCUAUUUAUUCCCACAAAAUCUCUACUUAGUGUUAUUUCAUUUAAAACUCUAUAAAAGUCACACAUUUGUUAACUUAUUGUCCAUUAAUAUUUUUAUCAAUUAAAAGAAAAAGCACGAGACAUUCAAUACUUCAAUGCAUAAGGAAAAAAAGUUUUAUUUAUUUAUUUUUACUUAAGAGAAAAAUUAACUAUUUCCAUUGAUCAUUGCUGUUUAAAACUUCAAUCCAUCAAAUAUCCAAGUUUUUUCUUCUUAAUUAGUUGUGUUAUUCAAUUGUUAUUGUUUCUUUUUUAAAUAUUGUUGUUGUUUUCUUUUAAUUAUCCAACAUAAUUGUUUGCUUGUUUUCUCUUCUUUCACUAAAAAAGAAAAAAAUGUCUAAUAGAAAAUGUGCAUCAAGAUACAAAAAACUUGGAAAAAAAAGAGAAGAAUGAAAAAAUUAGUUCGAUUUAAAAAAGGAGCUCUUGAUAAGUUUGUCAAAAAUAGUAAAAAAAAAUAUGAAUUAUAGUGAAGAAUUAGUAAUUGACGAAGUUUUUCAAAAUUAAAAUUAAUAAAACUUAUUUAAGAUCAAAUAAGUCAUAAGAAAAGUUAAAUGAUUUAUCUAUAUUGAGAAAAAUAUAUUAGCGAAAUUAGAAUAUAAAAAUUUCAGUAAUAAUUUUGCACCUAAGAAAGUUAGAAAAAUUAAUUUUAAAUAAAUAACUUUUUAGCAAAAUUAAUACAUAUAUUUGACCUUAAAGUUUUUAAAAGGCCUAAUUAAAGUAAUUCGCCUAAGGCCCAAAAUUAGUUGAGCCGCCCAUUCACGGGACAUAUCCAGACAAUAGACAUUAAUGCUGCGUUUACUUUUUGGAUUGGAGUGGGAAUCCUGAGGAGUGAGAAUCCUUGGAUUAGGAGUGUGGAGUGGGAGUGGGAGUAGGGUGUUUACUUAGACUAAAUGAAAGUAUAGAUUGUCAAUCAGAAUCCUAAUUAUUUGUUUACUUUGUCUUGGAUUGGGAGUAAAUUAUUUUAAAUUACAAUUUUAUCCUUAUGUACAGAAUUAUAAUUUGUAAUUAAAAAAUUAAUAAAAAAUAUAUUUGAAAAAUAAAAUAAAUAUUUUAUUAUAUUUAUAAAUUAAUAAUAAUUACUAAUAUUCUUAAUUAUGUAAAUCAUAAUUUUUUAUUAAUUUAAAUUUGAAUUAUGUGAAUAAAAAUUAUUAUUAAUAGCAACACAAAUGAAAUAUUAUUAUUGAUAAUAUAGUACAAAAUUAAUAUUUUUUUAGAAUAAAAUAUUUAUUAUUAUUAAUUAAAUAAUUAAUUAAUAUUUAUUAAAAUUAAUGUUUAAUAUUAUUAAUUUAAAUAUUUAUUUAUUUAUUUUUAUUUUAUUAAAUUUAAUAAAAUAAAUAUGAUAUAAUUAUUAUUUUUAAUAAAUAUGAUAUUAUUUAUUUUAUUAAAUAUUAUUUAUUUAUUUAUUUUUAUAAGGAUAAAAUGGGAAGAGGGGGGAGUAGAUUCCCACUCCCACCUCCCCCCAUGGGAGUGGGAAUCCCACUCCCCACUGCAAAAUUGGGUGGGACCCAUGGAUUCCCACUCCCACUCCCCCUUUUUUUAAGGUAAAUAAACACUGGAGUGGGAGGAAUCCACACUCCUCACUCCCACUCCAACAAGUAAACACAACCUAAGCGAAGACCAAAAUUAUUAUUUAAUGCUAACAUGUUUAAUCCUUUAUUCACAGAUAAUUACGUGAUGCGAAGAGAGCUGUUCUUCCAUAAAAAUUUACGUACGGCUCGUUUUCUUUGGUGAAUUAGUAAUUACUGGAAUUCACGUGCUUGAAAAUCAUGUGUAUACUGGUUGUCAAUUUCAAAAAGUCAGGGCUGCAGCAUGAAAAAGACAAAAGAUGCCAUAAAAUUCUUUUUGGACUCUGAAGGCAUUUGCAAUUACGUGCAGGUGUUAAACACAGAAGAAAUUAAAAAAAGUUAAUCAAAUGAGGCUGCUUAUGAAGGCAUUUGCAAUACGGCUCUUUUUUUACCUUCCUCUGGGGGCUGCUGUCUCCAAAAGCCAAAGUUUAGCUUUCUUUACUUCUUUAAAAUAGGCCCCACCUCUUAAAAUAUUAUUAAUAACCAUCAAAAUUAUCAUCGGAUUCUGGAAGUUGCAUCUGUAAACAUCAAUUAGCAUUGGCACUGGUUUUAGGGGCAGUAAUUUUCUUAUUCAUUGAAAGUAAUCAACCAGAAAUAUCUCAUAAUAAAUUAAAGAAAAGACAUACAAAUAAUAACUAAUCAUCGCCAAUCUGGAGAUUGAUGUUGAAUGAAAAAAUCGCAGAGAUAUUUAGGCCAUUGAGCUUAGACAAGAUCCUAGUUCUUCACAGUUGUCGUGUGCUUCGGCAGCAUCGGCACAACUGUUGGGGAAAAAUUAGGUUUUUAAAUUUUUUAUAAAAUUUUUUGAAGAUCGCUCUCAUAUAAUAUAUAAGAAUUUGUAUUCUAGAAAUCGUACCUUGAAAAUCCGAUUUGGCUUUUUCCGUUGAAGUGAUUUAGGCUCCUAGAUCACGAUCCGCCACCACCACUCCUGUUAGAUCACGAUCCGUCACCACCACGCUUGUUAAAUCACGAACUGUCACUAAUGAUCUUCCAGGUUAUGAUUCAGGUUCGAUCUGCACUCGACGUGUGGGCGCCUUUAUCACUACCAAAGCAACUAGCACGAGAAAAUUUUUCUCUCAAUAAAAUAUAAUUCUUCUGGUAUCAGAGCCAAGGGGAGGAUAGUGUAAUAUAGUUUAGAGACUUUGUGUUUAGAGACUUGUGUUUUAUUUUAAUUCUUGUUUGUAUGGUGAAUCCCUUACUGGUAGUAAGUCCCGCUUUAGGAUAAGACUUUCCGCUUAGAGCAGUAAAACCAUACCUGUAGCCAUACUGACAGGCCUUAGAGUAGAUCAUAGGUUUUUUAUUCAUGGAUUCUCUGCACUGUAGAGCAUCGUCCUUUUCUAGCUCUUCUUCUGGAAGAACUAGCGAUUCAAAGAAUGUUGUGAAUUCUGAAGAAUUUGUUAUCGAAUGCUUCAAUAAAGCAAUUGAUGAUUGGGAAUUACCAAAGGUUAAUAAAGAAAUGAUUUACAAAACAAAAAAGCUUGAUUUUCUAAAAAAUGAUUAUGUUAUAAAGACCGAAGAACGCGACAUAACCCUUUCAAAGCCUUUUGAAACAAUUCAUUUGUUUUCAGAACAAUCUUUAAAGAAAUUAAAAGAUAAACAUUUUAAUUAUAUUCACAUCGGACUAAUACAAGUCGGCAUAAAACCUCUAACAAAAGAAGGUCUUGAUACUUCUAUCCUUAUUGUCCUAAGAGAUGGCCGAUUCAUCUCUUUUGAUGAUUCUUUACUAAGUAGUAUAAAAUCAAGUCUUUGUAAAAGUCCCAGUUCAUUUAAUUGUUAUCCAAACAUAACAAUUUCCUUAAAAGAUAAAAAAAUUUUAAAAAGCAUGAUUUUACAAAUAAAAACUCAUAAUUAUCAUAUGAUUGAGGGAUCUGUCCCAGUAGCUUUGAUUUUUAAAAUCUCGUACAAAGCAAUGAUCUCUGCGUUUAGUACGCAACAUAAAUUCCAGUCAAAAAGAGACGAGACUCUUCUCUUACAGACUGAUCUGUCUAGAGCAAAUACUGUCAUUCCAAAACCAAUACAAUGGAAAGAUAUCAAUCUUCCAGAUGAAUGGAUUCUUGAAGGUGCCACUGCACCAGUGAUUCCGAAACAACUUGAACCAAAUACAGAGUUGCAAAAUGUGACUCAGUAUUUCGAUGGAAAAGUAAAACUGUCCUUUAGGAGAUCUAUAUCUUCUAGAUACUCCGAUAAAGAUUCAUGUUCGAGCAUCCCUUCAUUAGAAAGAAAAUUCUCAAAAAUCCCUUCUGUUAUAAAUCUCCCUUUUCAACAAGAAAAAAGUCAACCUAGGUUCUCUACUUCGGAUAUACCUAGUUCUUCUAUACGUUCAGUUGACUACACUACUAGUGUUCCUCACCCAAUUUACACUAGUAGUCAACAUGAGCAAAAACAGGAAGAAAAGGAACCUUCUCCUCCAACUUCUCCUACAUUUUCUACUGUCACAGAAAAUAUAAUAAAUGUCAUAGAAAAAGACUUUGAACUGGAUAAAACUCUUAUUCACAAUGAUUUUUAUUCAGAUAAUAAUAAAGAAAAAAGACUUUGGUUUUUUAAACAUUUUCUAAAUCAAAGAAAAGAAAUCCAAGAGACAUAUUAUGAAUUUGUGAAUUCGCAUAAAAUUCAUAUAUUGUUUUUUGAUUGGUUUGAGAUAUAUUCUUCCAAUAACAACAUCUCUUAUCCCUUUAAAGAGUCAAACCCUAUUACUGUUAGGAAGAAAACCCCUGAGUGGAAUCUUUCUGAUAGCAAUAGAACCAUAGAAUCUGAACAUCCACCUCUUAGGAGUUUAACUAUUAACCAUGGUGAACCUCCUGUUGAGAUUAGAGCCUCACCUUACAAAAUCCCAAAACCAAAUGAUUCUGAUGCGAAUUUAAGUAGUAUUAUUCAACAUAAUAAUUUCUGUAAUACUAACUUAAAUACUAUAGGAAAACAGUUAACUAGGAUAGAAAGCCAGUUCCAAAAGUCAACCAUAAUUGUUUCUCCUGUUUCAUCAAAAUCGGAUUCUGACAAAAAGCUUAAGGAACCUAUUUUCAAACCUUUCCAGGUUUCGAAAACUAGUCAAAAGCUUGUUCAAGAGUCAAAAUCAGAUUUUGCUAAAGCCAUUAGAGACCAAUUAGAUAGAAUAGAAGCUUCUUCUUCUUCUUCUUCUAAGGUCCAGAUAGCCCCUGAUAGUGCCCAAUUUAGCAAGAUUGGUAUCCUAGAGCAUGACAAUGUUUCUAUAGCCUCUUCAAACAUAGAAGCAUUUAAGGAAGAACCAUCUAAAGCCAACAAAAUCCAUUGGGAUUUAGCCAUACCUACUGUCAAGACCUCACCAGAUCUAGCUAUAGAUAAUAGACCGAGUGCCUUAAAUCAAUCACGAUUUAACGCAUCUUCUGUCUAUGAGUGGAAUAUUGAUGGUAUGUCUGAGUACAACAUCCUAGGAUUGUUGCAACAAAUGACCAUGGCAGCCAAUGGCUAUAAAACUCAGGCGGGAACUUCUGAUAGAGCCAUAGCAGAAAUUCUUGUUGCUGGUUUUACUGGUCAACUUAAAGGUUGGUGGGAUCAUCUCCUCACUAAACAACAACAAUUAGAUAUCCUAAAUUCCAUUCAAUUAGAUGAGGAUAGAACCCCUAUUCUUGAUGAGUUCAAUAGUCCAAUUCAAGAUGCUGUUGCUACCUUGAUUCUGACUAUAUCCCUUCAUUUCAUAGGUGACCCUUCUCACCUUAGGGACAAGAAUGCUGAGUUACUACACAACUUGAGGUGUAGAAAACUUAGUGAAUUCCAGAGCUAUAAAACCACUUUCUUCACCAGACUUUUCCUUAGGGAUGAUGCAAACCAUAUAACUUGGAAGGAGAAAUUCCUUGCAGGUUUACUUACCCUACUAGGAGAAAAGGUUAGGAAUUCCAUUAAGGCCUUUUAUGAUAACCGCAUUCCUUAUGAUGAGCUUACCUAUGGUGAACUUGUCAGUUUUGUCAAUAAGGAAGGUUUAAAGAUUUGUCAAGAUUUGAAGUUACAGAAACGACUAAAAUGGGAGCUGAAGAAGUCUAAGCAAGAAUUAGGCAGUUUCUGUAAACAAUUCAAUUAUGACCCCUUUAAAACUUCUACUUCCAAAGAUUGUAAUGGUAAGUGUUCUACAAAACCUUACAAGAAACAUUACAAAUCAAAUCCCAUAGGAAACCCUUUCGAGACUUUAGAGAACCUUUUUAUAAGAAACCUUCGAGACCUUAUAAGAAGCCCAACUUCUCUAAAAAGAAAGAGUUUAGAACCAAACCAAAAACCCCGUUUAAUUAUAAAGAAGCCACAUGUUACAAAUGUGGAAUGAAAGGCCAUACUGUAAAAUUUUACAGAAUGAACAGAAAGCUCCAUGAGCUUGGCCUUGAUGAAAAAACCCUCUCCAAAGUUGCCUCUUUGCUUAUAGAGUCCUCUGACUCUGAGUCUUCCAUGACGGGAGAUAGUGAACCUCUGCAGGUUGAUGAGUUAAAUGACUCUGAAUCUGUUUCCUCGAGUGAUUCGGACACCAGCAAUUCAGAUUCUUAUUUAAAGAAAAUCAAUGUUUUGACUAAAGAUCAAGAAAUCUUUCUCGAACUUGUUAAACAUAUCUCUGAUCCGAAUCACCAGAAAGAAUACCUUGAUAAACUUUUAAAGACCCUAGAUUCUAAUAAAUCAGAAACUUCUAAAGUUCUAAUUGCUAAAAAGAAUUCUUAUGACCUUACUGAAAUUUUGGACAAAAAGAAAACAAAGAAAACAAUCCCUAAUAUCCAAGAUCUUCAGAAAGAAAUCAAAGAAAUCAAACUACAGAUUAAAGAAUUAAAAGAGAAACAAAAGAAUGAUUCUGAUACUAUUCAACUUCUCUUACAAAAAUAAUUAGAAGAUAAUUCUAAUAAAGAAGUUGAGUCUGAUGGUGAUAAUGAAGAAAACCUUGAAAACAUUGAAUCUAUACCCAAUGAUUUCCUGUUUGUUUUAAAACAAAUCACCACCAGAAAGUAUUUGAUUAAAAUCACUCUAAUUACCCAAUGAAAUUGACACCAUUGCCCUAUUUGACACUGGUGCCGACUUAAAUUGCAUUAAAGAAGAUAUUGUCCCUAAAAAAUUCCAUGAAAAGACAAAUGAGAGACUCUCAGCCGCCAAUAAUUCAAAACUAAAAAUUAAAUCAAAAGUUGAUGCCUCAAUACAUAACAAUGGUUUUGAAUUUAGAACUUCUUUUCUUCUUACAAAUGACAUACAUCAUACUGUCAUUUUAGGAACUCCAUUUAUAAAUCUCAUUACCCCGUAUACUGUCAAUUACGAUAGUAUAUCUUUUAAAGCAAAAUCCAAAAAGCUUGUUUUCCCUUUUAUUGAGAAACCAAAAACAAGAAAUCUAAAUAUUGUUAAAGUUUGUUCUGUUUAUCAGAAUCAAAUCAAUACCAUACUUAAAUCUAAACAGAAUAACUUGUUUUGCUUAAAAAAGGAUUUAAGUCUACAAAGAAUUGAAAGCCAAUUACAAAAUGACUUUAUACAAAAGAAAAUCUCUGAUUUUAAAAAUCUCAUUGAAAAAGAAAUAUGCGCUGAUUUACCAUCUGCUUUUUGGGAAAGAAAACAACAUUUGGUAGAUUUGCCCUAUGACAAUUCUUUUGAUGAAAAACAAAUACCCACUAAAGCUCGUCCAAUCCAAAUGAACAUGAAAUUAGAACAACAUUGUAAAAAUGAGAUAAAAGACUUAGAAACCAAAUGACUCAUUGUAAAGUCCAGAUCCCCAUGGUCUUGUGCCGCUUUUUAUGUUAAUAAAAACUCCGAAAUAGAAAGAGGAACACCGAGACUUGUAAUAAAUUACAAACCCUUGAAUAAAGCAUUAAAAUGGAUUAGGUAUCCUAUACCUAAUAAAAAAGAUUUGCUUCAAAAAUUGUGUUCUGCCUUUAUUUUUUCAAAAUUUGACAUGAAAUCUGGUUUUUGGCAAAUCCAAAUUCACCCUAAAGACCGUUAUAAGACUGCUUUUACUGUUCCUUUUGGACAGUACGAAUGGACUGUAAUGCCAUUUGGAUUAAAAAAUGCACCUUCAGAAUUUCAAAGAAUCAUGAAUGACAUUUAUAAUCUUUAUUCUGAGUUUUGCAUUGUUUACAUAGAUGACGUGUUGAUUUUUUCUCAAACAAUUAAUCAACAUUUCAAGCAUUUAAAAACCUUUUAUCUUGCCACCAGGAAGGCUGGUCUAGCCCUUUCUAGUUCUAAAGUUUCAUUGUUCCAAACAAAAGUUAGAUUCCUUGGUCACUAUAUUUCUAAAGGAACUAUCACCCCUAUUGAACGAUCACUUUUGUUUGCGGAUAAAUUUCCUGAUAAAAUUCUUGAUAAAACACAACUACAAAGAUUUUUAAGAAGUUUAAAUUAUGUUCUUGAUUUCUGUCCUAAUAUUAGCCGGAUGUCUAAACCUUUGCAUGAUAGAUUAAAAAAGAAUUCUGUUGCAUGGACUGAUGAACACACUAAAGCUGUUCGAUUGAUAAAAAAUUCUGUCAAGAAUAUUCAUUGUUUAUUCCUGGCAAAUCCUACAUUACCUAAAAUAGUUGAAACUGAUGCAUCUGAUUUAGGUUAUGGAGGUAUAUUAAAACAAAAAGAAAGUAAUAAAGAACAGAUAGUACAAUAUGUUUCUGCACAUUGGAAUGAUUGCCAGAAAAAUUAUUCUACUAUCAAAAAAAAAAUUCUUUCUAUUAUUUUGUGCAUAUCUAAAUUCCAAAGUGGUUUAUUAAAUAAAAAAUUUUUGCUUAGAAUUGAUUGCAAAGCCGCAAAACAUGUUUUGAAAAAAGAUGUUCAAAAUAUUACUUCAAAACAAAUCUUUGCAAGAUGGCAAGCCAUUUUAAGUGUUUUUGAUUUCGAUAUUGAGUUUAUUAAAGGAGAUACAAAUUCUGUCCCUGAUUUUCUAGCUAGGGAAUUUCUUCAAAACAAAUAAAUGCCGCCCAAAAAGAAAGACAAAGGGAAAGGGAUUCUCAAAGAACAUGUGUCCCAAACACCUUCCAAAGCUUCCCAAACCUCUCCACCUAAAGAAAAAUUACUUUCCUCUGCCAUGCCAAUCAAAUCUUGGAUCGACAUGAUAGAAGAUCAAGAAGCCCAGUCCAAAGCCCUUGCCUCUCAUGAGCAGGUAAAUGAAUGGAUGAAAUCCAUUUCUAAAUCUCCUGAGCUUAUGCUCGCUUUACAGAGUUUUUCUCAAAGCCAAAUUUCUCCUAAAGAAGAUGUUGAAAAAGAAAAAUCUAUUUCCAAAGAAAUUUCAAAACCCUCUUAUCAAAAUGUAGUUGUUUUUGGUGAAAGUUCAUCUUCUCAAAUUGUGCUUUCCCAGCCAAAACUUUCAAAGAAAUCUUCCGAUUGGUUUGAUAAAACCCACUUCCAAAAUAUUUUAUCUAUGGAAGAUGGUUUUUACCAUACUGAUCCUUUCCAAGCUAUUUCAAAGUUUUUCCCUAAAGGCUGGUUUUUCAAACCAUGGGAUUUGACAAAACCCCAGUCUUAUUAUCAAAGCAUUUUAGAAGCCACUGAGUCAGUAAAAUUCAAACAUUUCUUUCUCAGUGAACCCAUUCAGAGCCAGCCUAUUCCACGGCUACUAUCCUAAAGGUCUUGAGCCCAAACCAGUAGGGUGAUCAACUUCACAAACAAAAACCUUCCCUCCAAAUUUUCAAAUGCGUUUACCACAUUGUUUGACUUAUUCCUAUUGGGAUUACCAACAAGCCUGGUAUAACACAUUUUUUUAUCCAAAACCCCAAAAAAUCUCACUCUUGGUUAUUUUUCUUCAAUUCAAGAAUAACCGUUCAAAGCCUCCCAAACUAGUUUCAACAUUGGUGGAAUUCUUUUGGCCCAAUCCCCCAGAUCCUAACUCCAAAUGCCACACAUUGUUUAAACCUCUUUAAAGCCCACUAUAUUCCUUCUGACUCCGAGAAAAGGUUUCCCCCAUUUCUUUGUUUUGGUACAAAUUUCUUCCUUCCAUGGGUAUGGAUGUGGAUCUCAGAUUUUAUACCCAAGAUGCUCAGCUCAUCUUACAAAGAACAUUCAAAGUAAAAUGGUGGUCGAAGUUUGACGAACAGUCCAAAUUGACAGACACUCUGAUUCGCAACUUGCUCUGUUAUAAAGGAUUCUUACCCCCAACGAUUAAAGCCGUAAAGGCCCAAGAAACCUUUCUAACCCAAAAAUCCAAAGCCCAAUCUCUUUUGGCCAGCGCCAAAUCUGAAGAAGAAUAUUUUAAAGUUAUGGAGCAGCUCCUCACCUCAAGAUCAGACUCCUCUGAUGAUGAUGACCAAGAUGAAGAGCCAUUUAUUUCUCUUGGAGAUGAAAAUGAGGACGACUGCUUCAGAAUUUUCUCUCCAGUAAAGCAUUGUAAAUAAUUAUUGUGUAUUAAAAAAAAAUAUUCCAGUAUUUGUAUUCCUCUCUUUUAUUUUCGAAUUUUGUUCGUAUAGGUUGUACCCUCGGGUGGUCCCCUGGACACAAGUGAGAGCGCACAUGUCUCUUCACCCGAAUUAUAUUUGUAAAGACUGUACCAUCCAAAGACUACUGUUUCAAGCUACAGUUUCGCUACAGUGGAGAAGCUACAGUUUCGCUACAGUGGAGAAGCUACAGACUCGCUACAGUUAAAAAAUCUCUGUAUUUAAAUCGAGAGGAAGACUUAGACUCCUCAGAUUUUUUAGUUUUGAGUUUUUCAAUUCUCUCUCUCUCUCUCUCUCUCUCCCCCUCUCUCUCUCUGGGAAUCAGGAAUCCGAAGACAUCAAGGAAUUCUCCUGUCUUCAGAUUAAUUUCCUAUUUCUUCUGUAGAAUAGUAUUCAAAGAAACAAAGAAAGAAAAAUCAAAUGUAAGAUCUAUAAUUCCUUUCAAAGAUUGUAAUUAAUUUAAAGUUCUGCAUGUUUAAUUUCCGCAAUUUACUUUAAAGCAAUUUACUUUAAAGCAUUUCAAUUCCAGUAAUUUAAAUUUUAUGCAUACUUUGCAGACUAAUCUCUAUCAGCUCUGCCAUAAAACUGCUACGUUCCUCUGAGGCAACGAGACCAGAUCUCUAUCCUCAGUUGUAUCUUCUUUUCUCCCCCCAUCCAUUCAGAGUGCUACUUCUGGGAUCCAGAUCUAGUACUAUCUAUGAGCCUUUAGAUCUGUUGCUAGGCUUGUUUAAAGAACCUAAUUCAUAUUCGGUAAAGCACUUGAGUAUAUCGGCUGGAAAACAGAACGUGCGUGAUAUUGAUCUGUUCUAAGUCAGAUCUGGUCACAAAGGCAGAUUAAGUUCUGCAUCAAGGGAUAUAGUCCCUAAGGUGAGAAGGGUCACCUAUGAAAUGAAGGGAUAUAGUCAGAAUCAAGGUAGCAACAACAUCUUGAAUUGGACUAUUGAACUAAUCAAUAAUAGGGGUUCUAUCCUCAUCUAAUUGAAUGGAAUUUAAGAUAUCUAAUUGUUGUUGUUUAGUGAGGAGAUGAUCCCACCAAUCUUUAAGUUGACCAGUAAAACCAGCAACGAGAAUUUCUGCUAUGGCUCUAUCAGAAGUUCCCGCCUGAGUUUUAUAGGCAUUGGCUGCCAUGGUCAUUUGUUGCAACAAUCCUAGGAUGUUGUACUCAGACAUACCAUCAAUAUUCCACUCAUAGACAGAAGAUGCGUUAAAUCGUGAUUGAUUUAAGGCACUCGGUCUAUUAUCUAUAGCUAGAUCUGGUGGGGUCUUGACAGUAGGUAGGGCUAAAUCCCAAUGGAUUUUGUUGGCUUUAGAUGGUUCUUCCUUAAAUGCUUCUAUGUCUGAAGAGGCUAUAGAAACAUUGUCAUGCUCUAGGACACCAAUCUUGCUAGAUUGGGCACUAUCAGAGGCUAUCUGGACCUUAGAAGAAGAAGAAGAAGAAGCUUAUAUUCUAUCUAAUUGGUCUUUAAUGGCUUUAGCAAAAUCUGAUUUUGACUCUUGAACAAGCUUUUAACUAGUUUUCGAAACCUGGAAAGGUUUGAAAAUAGGUUCCUUAAGCUUUUUGUCAGAAUCCGAUUUUGAUGAAACAAGAGAAACAAUUAUGGUUGACUUUUGGAACUGGCUUUCUAUCUUAGUCAACUGUUUUCCUAUAGUAUUUAAGUUAGUAUUACAGAAAUUAUUCUGUUGAAUAAUACUACUUAAAUUCGCAUCAGAAUCAUUUGGUUUUGGGAUUUUGUAAGGUGAUGCUCUAAUCUCAACAGGAGGUUCACCAUGGUUAAUAGUUAAACUCCUAAGAGGUGGAUAUUAAGAUUCUAUGGUUCUAUUGCUAUCAGAAAGAUUCCACUCAGGGGUUUUCUUCCUAACAGUAAUAGGGUUUGACUCUUUAAAGGGAUAAGAGAUGUUGUUAUUGGAAGAAUAUAUCUCAAACCAAUCAAAAAAAAAAAUAUAUGAAUUUUAGAGACUUGUGUUUUAUUUUAAUUCUUGUUUGUAUGGUGAAUCCCUUACUGGUAGUAAGUCCCGCUUUAGGAUAAGACUUUCCGCUUAGGGCAGUAAAACCAUACCUGUAGCCAUACUGACAGGCCUUAGAGUAGAUCAUAGGUUUUUUAUUCAUGGAUUCUCUGCACUGUAGAGCAUCGUCCUUUUCUAGCUCUUCUUCUGGAAGAACUAGUGAUUCAAAGAAUGUUGUGAAUUCUGAAGAAUUUGUUAUCGAAGACUUCAAUAAAGCAAUUGAUAAUUGGGCAUUACCAAAGGUUAAUAAAGAAAUGAUUUACAAAACAAAAAAGCUUGAUUUUCUAAAAAAUGAUUAUGUUAUAAAGACCGAAGAACGCGACAUAACCAUUUCAAAGCCUUUUGAAACAAUUCAUUUGUUUUCAGAACAAUCUCUAAAGAAAUUAAAAGAUAAAAAUUUUAAUUAUAUUCACAUCGGACUAAUACAAGUCGGCAUAAAACUGAAAUACAAGUAUGCAACCCAAGAGGGGGGUGAAUUGAGAUUCUAAAAAAUUAUUCAAUUUAUUAAAGAAAAUCUUAAUGCAAUUAUAAAUCAAAUUCAAAGCAAUAACAAUUAAGAUGAUCACAAUAUAAAAAGAUAAGGGAAGAGGGAUUCAAACACCGAGAUUUUUACGUGGUUCGGCCAACCUCGCCUACGUCCACGCCUCCAAGCUUUCCGGGCUUGAGGAUUCCACUAAGCAAGCCUCCAAGGCUUCAAAUGCUUACACUUGACUUCCAAGGUGUCAAUGGACCUUUACAACAAGAGAUUAUCCCCAAUCUCUUAACCCAAGUGUAUCCCAACACUUACAAUCACUCAAAGUAAAAGAUUACAAACUGUUUUGCCUCUCACAAUAUAUAAGAUUACACAAUGAUGCUUAAUAUGUGAAUAGAUGAAGCAAGAAUGUGUUCGAAGCUCUAUGAAGAUUGUAUUCUCGAAUAUUAGCUCAAAUGGUCGUGUUGUGAUCAACCUUCUUUGAAUUUGAAUGAGCUUAUUUAUAUCUGGAGCUGAAAAUCUAGCCGUUACAAACUGUCGGACAGAAAACGGUUCGCCGUUAACCCUAAACGGUUAACCGUUUCGGUUGGUCAAAGUUACCGUUGGGCCAGAUUUCAAAUAAACGGUUUGCCUUUUGUAAUUAACCUUUAGCCGUUAACUACCAGAGACCUGCAAGAUGAGCAUUUGUUAUUCGUUUACGCUAAACGGUUAAGGACUUGCGUGAAGUAACGUUUCUGGAUAUUAUCGGUUAACCGUUUGAAAUAAACGGUUCGCCGUUUGUCUCCAGUAACCUGCAAAACAAUUUAGCAUUAUCAGUUUUCGUUAAUCAGUGCCAGAGGAGGACAACCUUCAAUUCUGGACAUUAUCGGUUAACCGUUUAAAAUAAACGGUUCACCGUUAAGUUCCAGUAGCCUUUCCAUUCUUGGUGAUUUCCGUUUUUCAUAAACGGUUAGAGCUUUAGGCAUUAUGUCGCUCUCUGGUGUUAAUCGGUUAACCGUUUAAAAUAAACGGUUCACCGUUAAGUUCCAGUAACCUUCCCAUCUUUUGUGUUUUCCAUUUUUCAUAAACGGUUAGAGGUUUAUGAAAUAUGUUGCUCUCUGCCUUUAAUCGGUUAACCGUUUAUAACCAGAAUUGCAAUUUUAAACUAGUUUUUUUGUAGAGAAUCUCUUUCUAAUUUGAAAGUCCAUCUUUUAUGAAGAAAUAAGGCAAUGAAUAAAAGGGCUUUCGUUUAUUAAGAAAUAUCUCCAAUAUUUUUGUCAAAAACCAUAUAAAAGUUGUUAUCAUCAAAAUCAAUAUUAUUAACAUAUUUAUGUUAACAAAAACCUCUAACAAAAGAAGGUCUUGAUACUUCUAUCCUUGUUGUCCUAAGAGAUGGCCGAUUCAUCUCUUUUGAUGAUUCUUUACUAAGUAGUAUAGAAUCAAGUCUUUGUAAAGGUCCCAUUUCAUUUAAUUGUUAUACAAACAUAACAAUUUCCUUAAAAGACAAAAACAUUUAAAAAAGCAUGAUUUUACAAAUCAAAACUCAUAAUUAUCAUAUGAUUGAGGGAUCUGUCCCAGUAGCUUUGAUUUUUAAAAUCUCGUACAAAGCAAUGAUCUCUGCGUUUAGUACGCAACAUAAAUUCCAGUAAAAAAGAGACGAGACUCUUCUCUUACAGACUGAUCUGUCUAGAGCAAAUACUGUCAUUCCAAAACUAAUACAAUGGAAAGAUAUCAAUCUUCCAGAUGAAUGGAUUCUUGAAGGUGCCACUGCACCAGUGAUUCCGAAACAACUUGAACUACAUACAGAGUUGCAAAAUGUGACUCAGUAUUAUGAUGGAAAAGUAAAACUGUCCUUUAGGAGAUCCAUAUCUUCUAGAUACUCCGAUAAAGAUUCAUGUUCGAGCAUCCCUUCAUUAGAAAGAAAAUUCACAAAAAUCCCUUCUGUUAUAAAUCUCCCUUUUCAACAAGAAAAAAGUCAACCUAAGUUCUCUACUUCGGAUAUACCUAGUUCUUCUAUACGUUUAGUUGACUACACUACUAGUGUUCCUCACCCAAUUUACACUAGUAGUCAACAUGAGCAAAAACAGGAAGAAAAAGAACAUUCUCCUCCAACUUCUCCUACGUUUUCUGCUGUCACAGAAAAUAUAAUAAAUGUCAGAAAAAGACUUUGAACUGGAUAAAACUCUUCUUCACAAUGAUUUUUAUUCAGAUAAUAAUAAAGAAAAAAGACUUUGGUUUUUUAAACAUUUUCUAAAUCAAAGAAAAGAAAUCCAAGAGACAUAUUAUGAAUUUGUGAAUUUGCAUAAAAUUCAUAUAUUGUUUUUUGAUUGGUUUGAGAUAUAUUCUUCCAAUAACAACAUCUCUUAUCCCUUUAAAAGAGAGAAAAAUCUUAUUCUCCGAUCUGUAUAAAGUGGCUUCUCUCUUUUUCUUUUAAGAAAAUAAGCCUUAUAUAUCCUCUUUAGUGAAAACCCUAGGCUCCAAAUAAUGCCCUAAAUAAAAUUCACGUUACUUUUCAUUUAAUAGGGGACCCACCAUGUAAAAUAACAUCAGGCCCCUUACACAUAAGCUAAUUAAAUGGAGCCUCCCACUAAAUGAUAUAUUUAGGCUUUUGACCCAAAUAGCUAGUUAUCUUACUUAUUAGUCCAGUAGUGGUGCAGUCAAUUAAAUGAGCUAACCCGGGGAUCAUUUGGGAACAUACAAUAGUGGCUAUAACAAUUAGGCAUGUAAUUAAACUAGCCUAAUUAUUUAAUUCUAAAUCUACUCCACUAAAAUAUUGGAACUGACUUCCAUAAUUGUAUGCUCGAAUAAUAAUUCGUCCCAAGCCACAUUGAUUUCUUUACUGCACAAUCCUUUGUACCACAUCGUUAAUUAAAUUGAUAUCUCAACUGUCCAAUCAAUUUAAUAACAUCUUUUUCCUUGAUCCUUACUGGUUUUCUUUAAUGAUCAUUUUCAACAUACUAAAUAUGUUGACACACUCUGGCCAGAGAAUUCAAUGAUCAAGUGCCGAAAACCCAUCAAGAGAUGUGUUGUACAAAUUCUAUAUUGUUAAUCCAUAACUCUAAUACUCAUAAUUGCUCCCACCAAGAUACCGGGUAAUCUUGACCACAAGUAUGUGUCGUGCCCAUUGGUAACUCAAAUGAAAUAACAAUUACAAUCAUGAAAUCAUAAUUAACUCAAGAUUAAGAUUACAGUAAAAUCAAUGCCUAUGAGAUUUAAUAAGUCUGACAGUUAUUACAAAGUUAAUUAAAUCUCAUAUGUGAUCCUGUUCAAUGUAGUCGUACUACAUCAAUAAAUUCAUACAUGAUUAAGACAAAUCAUUCAAUGAAUUUAUUACAGUCUAUACUUAAAUAAAGUACCCAACUUUAUUUAUCAACUGCGAACUAAAUUUAUUUAAUCAUAAGAUAACUUGUAUUUAUGUCUUCUGUGAAUCCACAUGGUGAUCACAUAAAUACAUAUAAUAUGAUUAAAUGGACUUUAAUACAAAUAUUAAUACAAUUAAGAUAUUUGAAUAAAAUACCUCAUUUAUUUUAUUAAUCAGAAAAAUUAUUUAUUACAAUUAAAUAAACACAUAUACUUUUAAAGAGCAUAUUUUCCCAACAACAACAUCAUAGUUUAUUCAUGCAGCCUGUGUCUUCAGGUAAUGGCUCUUUUCCUCUGUUUCAUGCUCAAGCCACUUCACAUUUGCACCGUAGUCUCCACUACUGUCUUCGACAAUGCAUGAACAGAUUCUAGUUAGUAUUUGCAUGACAGAAAAUCAAGGUGAUAUAAGGUGACCUGCAAAAUUCAUUAAUUCAUGCAUACAAAAAAGGACUUGAGAAAUGAAAAUGAAAACAAAAACUCAGUUAUUUGUGAAUCAUCUGAGCUUUUGAGACAAAGAAUAAUAAACCUAUCAGAUGCCUGCAAGUUCACGUCAUUACGGACAAACAUUACUUCAAGAAUAUAUUUGCUCCCAUCCGGCAUUUAUGUGUAGUAAACUCAGAACUGAGAUUUGAAUAUUGGGGGUAGUAACCCAUUCUCAUACAUCGAAAAUUUAAAUUCAUAUACCCCUGCAACGUUUCUCUCAAAGUCAGCCUCAACUUGAAACCGAAGAGCAACCUCCUUUUCUGACUUUUCUUUGGCCCGCUUUAAUCUAGCCAUUUUUGCUGGGAAAAAAAAAAAAAAACAAAAACAGAAGUAAGCAUCAAGGACUCGAAUGACAAGCGGUGCCAUCAUUAUAGCACUCAACCCAAGUAGGUGAUUCAGCAGUGCCUGCGAUUGUGCUUACAAAUCUCUCAAUGGAACCAAGCUUCAAAGAAAGGCUAUGAGUAUAAUCAGCCAUACAUACCACAAGAAACAGUUAUAUCUCUUUCUCUCUUUGAUUUUUUGAGGUCAGGUCAAGACCGAGAGACUCAGUCUCACCUCUUACAACGGGAUUAGUUGGAAUAAGUAUCGGAAACCCUUUCCAACCUCCUCUAAGGCAGGUUUACUCAAUAUCUCAUCUCACAGGAAGGCGGGGUCUCCAUUGGAAAAGAAAGAUCUGUAUUUCUCCUUAAGAGAAGGAAAAUUGAUAGUAGACAGAUCUUAAGAGGCAAACAAACGAACUAACAAUGAGUGUAAUAUUCAUCACAAAACCCUACAGCCAUUAUCAUUUUGUACAAAGCAACUGACAAACAUGAUUUUCAGCAACAGCAAGUCUGUUAAGUACAAUAAUAGUAUCAAAAAUAACAAUUAAGAUGAAAAAGAAGUACAGACAUCUUACAUUUUUGAAAAAGGAUGAUAAAAUAGAAAACAAGAAGAGAGGCUUGCUGUUUCUGGCAGUAUUGACAAUUUGCUGAGCUUCUUGUUCUGUAGCUAGCAACAGUUGAAUUCCAUUCUGUACCCUGCUGGCUUCCAUACUUUAUAUAAUUUCUGAUGCUGCUCCACUGAAUUAUAAAAAUAUGAUUGAUGCAAAGAAAUGAGAAACAAAGAAUAGAUAUAAGCACAAUUAAGGACAUUCCCAUGGAAACUACUUUUAAAUGGUUAUAAGAAAACUGCAUAAAUCGAAAAUAAUGAAAACAAAUUUUGAAACUUCCUUGCAACAGUGAAGAGUUACUUGAAAUCAGCUAGAACAGUAAAUGUCGUGAUAAAAUUUUCUCAUACAAAGAAUCUACAACUAAACAAGGAAUUGCUUGUAUAUUUAGAACUAGAUAGACCUCAGCAACACAGCUUCCUAUAGCCACAUAUUUAUGCGCUUGACUGGGAAUACUAUAUUUUUAUUUACCACUAAUGGGAUUGGGAAUUUCAUUGGCAAAAUGGAGGAGAUUCAGAGCUUGUUAUUUAGUCUGAAUUGGCACACGAACGGCGAAAUAGAGCCAAUCAACACUAUAAACAAAGCAGUUUUGCCAUAGAGAAAGCCAAAAUAAUUCAUUAACAGACUUACAGUUUCGUUCACACAUAUGCAAGGAUCUUUAAAAACUAAAAGCAGCAAGGUCAGUUGCAAGUUUUUCACCUACAAUAUUUUCUAAGCCAAUAAGAACAGAUCGAAUGUUUAUUUUGGAACCAAGUUAGACAGUGAGCAUCAGAAUCAAAUGAUAUUUCCAAUACAAAUUACAUCUAUUUAAACAAUGCACCAUCUACUGUUCCUCACAUUGCCACAAAAUUAGCCACAGCUUCUCAACUCAGAUCACUACACGUCCAAAUUUAUUGAUAACUACACAUGUGAACGUAACUAAACAAACCCAAUCCUAAAAAAUUUACAGCUUAGAGUUUGAACGAAAAUACCCAAAUCCAUUUAGAAUGUUAAAUCAAGAAUUGCUGACUUAAAAAAAAAAGGGUUAUUGGCAUAAAUGAAGAAGCAAAAGCAAGAAAUUUAGUUAUCUGUGGUUGCAGAUACAGAGAUACCGUGAUCACAAGCAAAGAAAAUAAAUGCAAUACUAGUGUACGGAAUCAAGAGAAGCAGAGAGACAGAGAGACUUGCCUAUGGAACCGGUCUUCGUGUUUGGUCGAGAUUUCACGACAAAUGAUAUGUGUACGUGGGACUUCACUUCACUACCUGUGUUGAAUCUGAAGUGAAACUAAACAAUCUGAAACAGCAAACACGAUGUUUCUCAGUUGUCCAACUGCUAAAAUUAUUUUAUGACUCAUUUACCCCUUGUAAUUUUAUCAAAUAACUCACUGAUGGUCUAACCCCUAUAAUUAAUUUAAAACUUAUGAACUCCAAGGUUACCAUUUGCCAAAAGUUCUUGUUUGUCCUGGUUGAGCUUCUAUUUAUAGACGAGUUUCUGGUAACAACCGGUUAAAAUAUCCAUCCGUAGUUAAUUUAAUUUUAUUUCGUGUCACGGUAUGAAUGGUGUAAUUUUAUGCCAGUUGCAAUUGAAGUAAAGGGGAAAUUCAAUUUUAGGAGUUUAAGCAUAAUUUUGUUAGACCAUUUUGAUUUUUUUUUUCUUUUAAAAGUACGUAACAAUUUACCGAGAUUUGAACUACGUCAAUAUUUGAGUCCAGAAUGAACUAUACUUGGCUUCUGAAUGUUUAGAAGAAUACUAGUAACAUAAAAUUUAUAUUCUAUGUAAUUGAAUAAAAGAAAAAAAAGUUUAUUGGUUGAGUAAUUUUCUAACAAUUCAACUUUGAACAAAAAAUAAACCAAAUGGAAUUCAUGAAAGGCCCCUAGCAUGCACUUGAAAAUUUUCGCUGGCACCCAAGACUCUGCUUAUAGCAUUGCACUUCCAGUCCUGGUGGCACGUCCAAGCCGCUCUCUUCUGUCAUUACUUCGACGUUUCUUGUACAUCAUCCCGCAACAUCCAAUCACUGAUACCCCCGCCAACACUCCGAUCACCGUUCCCGCCUUCUGCCCACCACUCAUUCCGCCCCCUUUCUUUGUUGAAGGAGGAGCAUUGUCUGCUGGAGGUGGAGCUGGUGUUGUGGGUGCUGGUGGUGCGGCUGGCGCUGCAGGAGCAGGUGGCGUUGGCGUUACAGGAACUGGAGGUGCUGGUGUUGCAGGACCAGGCGGCGUUGGAGUUGCCGGAGCAGGUGGCGUUGGUGUUGCUGGAGCUGGUGGCGUUGGUGUUGCAGGACCAGGCGGCGUUGGAGUUGCCGGAGCAGGAGGUGUUGGCGUUCCUGGUGCAGGUGGCGUUGGUGUUGCAGGAGCAGGAGGUGUUGGUAUUCCUGGUGAAGGUGGCGUUGGCGUAGCAGGAGCUGGUGGCGUUGGUGUUGCGGGAGCUGGUGGCGUCGGCGUUUCCGGAGCCGGAGGUGUUGGCGUUGCUGGAGCAGGUGGCGUUGGUGUUGCGGGAGCUGGUGGCGUUGGCGUUUCGGGAGCCGGAGGUGUUGGCGUUGCUGGAGCAGGUGGCGUUGGUGUUGCGGGAGCGGGAGGUGUCGGUGUUACUGGAACAGGUGGGGUCGGAGCUGCAGGAGCUGGAGGUGUUGGUGCUGCAGGAGCAGGUGGCGUUGGCGUGGCAGGAGCGGGAGGUGUGGGUGUUGCAGGAGCUGGUGGCGUUGGGGUUGCGGGAGCUGGUGGUGCUGGCGUUGCUGGAGCUGCAGGUGGCGUUGGUGGUGCUGGAGUUGCAGGAGCUGGAGGUGCUGGUGCUGCAGGAGCGGGUGGUUGUGUGGAGCCUAAGGAAACCAGAAGAGAUAGGAAAAGAAUAAAGCAAAUUCUGGAGUGUCUUGCCAUGAUUGCUGAACUCAGAAAUGUCAAGUCCGGAUCCUGUUCAAUACUGGAGAAGGGUUGAUUGUGAUUGAGGCUACCGAGAAAAAACAAGACACAUUGAUAAGCUUUAUAGUGAAAGCUGUGAACGAAACCAGGAGAAUACUGCAAGAAAGUUGACUCGAAAAUUAGAAUUAUAAACCAUCAAGCAAAGAGCAAAGAAAUAGUUUUGAGGUUCAUUGCGUUAACUUUGAGGGAGCUGAGUUUGGCUUCUAGUUCUUGGAUAUUGUCACAAACAUAGUAGAAGUCGCCUGCCUAUUUUGCAAUGUGAAUUUGUAAAACUUUGACGUUGUCUUUCGGAAGCUAUUCCAAGGCUGCCGCUUCAUUCUCAUACUUUUGUGCUGUCAUGAGAUGAUCCAUCACCAGCUAAUGCUAUCCUUCGUAUUAGACAUGUAUAGUUUUAUUGAAAAAGAUAAAAAUCCAAUGUGCCAAACAUAUACUAGGACUGUGAGAGUAAUUGAUAAAAAGUUUCAUGGUUUAAUAGCCAACUUUUUUUUCAUCACUGUUUCAGCUGAUUCACAUUCAGAGAGGAAGUUAUAAUGGAGGAAUAAGAAUGUGAUGGAAGACUGAGAACUGUAUCUGAAGUUGAAUUAGACUUCCUCGAAAGCUUGUCUUCCAGGAAAUCCUCUGCAAAUGACUAGAGAACAAUAGAGAAAAUCGCAACAUUAUACAACCUGUACAAGUACAUGUAAGUCGUAUCUUCUAGUUCUAGGCUUAUUGAUAAAAUGAAGUAAAAUUAGUGAAUGAUGCUUCUUACAAUCAAUUCUGCAUCCAGAAAGUACUUAGCACCUUUAUUAUUCACAAAAGCCGUGACCUGCAUCUUAACAAUUAUCAUCAUGAGACCCAUGCUUAUACUUCACCACAAGCAAUCUUUAAAUCGAAAGGAUUCUUCACUUGUGGCUGUAGGGAUGAAGAAGAAGCAACUCACUCUUGGAGAAUUUCCCGUAACGCCAAAUUUUGAAGAAAGAAGUCUUCUAAAACAAGGCUCCAAGGGACCAGAAUCAGCACUAAAUUUGUUUAGUUUUUGACACAAAAGGCAUAAACAGUCGAUAAGCAAAUAUGUUGCCGUGAAGGAACAAGGCAUCUUCCGAAAGACCUUAAUCUGCAGAUCACUUUUCUGUAAGAUCAUAACCAUAUGCCUUGAUUCCCAUUUCUAAUAUAAUUUUAAGCGAAAAUAUAUCUACAUGACAUUCACCAAAAAGAGGAUUAAGCUGAACUUCUUAAGGCAAUACUGCAACUAGUUUUUCGGCAAGCCGAGGAUUAGACUCAGUAGUUAUACUGAAUUGUAAACAAGAACUAAUGUAGCACUGGGACUAGGCGUCCAAAAUGCAAUACUGCAACUAAUAAUUUUUUGAAUUUACCCUCUGUCGCGGAGUUCUUGCUGGCACUUCGAAUUUGAAUAGAACUUUCUCUGUAUCAUUAACUACACUUGCAAAAAGCCAAACUGCACAAAAAGGAAUUUUUAUGCAUGUUUAAAUCAAAACAAAGUAUAUUAGAUCUCAUGUUGUUAUAAGGACAAAGAUAUUCAAAAUAGGGUUUGCCUGUUUCAUUCGACUGAGAAAAAAUCACAUGAGCAUUAUCUCUAGUGAAAGUUGUUACAAUCCGAGGCUUGUUCUUAAGUACGAAGUCUGCAAUUGGAGUCCUGAUGAAUUGACCACCUGCAUGCAGAGUACUUAAAUAAAUGUUCCAGUUAAUUAAAUCUCCGAAGCCUUUAGAAAACCAUUGAGAUGUGGCAGAUACUAACCAAACUGGCUAUACUUGAACUUUUGACCUUCCCCCUUUGGCCCUUUCCAUCAAAUCCAAGGGCGUCUAAUUGGGGGAUCAAUGUUGAAAAUCUUCACUGUAAGAGAGAUUGUUACAUUUUUCUUAAUCUUUGGUUUGAUAUUAUGGACGAAAACGGUUUGCCGUUUCUUAAGAAAACGGCUAACCGUUUAAGUCCAGAGAGCAUGUUUUUGUUCUGGGAUAAAACGGCUCACCGUUAUUGGGAAAACGGCUAACCGUUUAACUCCAGAGAGAAUGUUUUAUGUUCUAGAGAAAAAUGGCUCACCGUUAUUGAGAAAACGGCUAACCGUUAUUGAGAAAACGGAUUUACAGAGAGCAACGUAUUUGACAUACAAGAAUAAAACGGCUCACCGUUUAUUGAGAAAACGGCUAACCGUUUAUUUCCAGAAAGGCGUCAACUGGAAAACGGUUAAGCAAGUUUGAAAUUUAAUUGUCAAUCAAUGCAAAUUCAAACCAAAAGAGUGUCUUUGAAGAAGUACCAUUUCGAAUGGUUGUAUUCUUUUAAAUAAACAUCUUCUUCAUUAAAAGAAAGAUAUACAAUUAGAUUUAUAAUUAGUUUUUACAGAUUUCAUAUAAGUUCUGGAAAUACAAUCUUAUUUGCUAAAAAUUGUAAUCAGGAUUUGAUAUAUCUUGGGGGUAAUUUGCAAUUAAAACUCUAUAGCAAAUCAAGAUUGGUGAGGGCAAAUAAAACCUUAAAGGAAAGUGUACAAACACGUCUCAAAUCCUAAGAAAUUGUCUCUAUUCUUUGCCUCCAUAUUAUUAAAUUCACCAACAAUCUUUAAGGUUUUAUUUAAAUGGAGGCUGAGAAGAGUUUGACAUCUUUUCUGAAUCCUAGUGUUCAUCUCGAUCGUUUUGAUGGAACUAAUUUCACUCGUUGGAAGGGAAAAUUGUUCUUUCUCUUUACUGUUCUUAAAGUGGCAUAUGUUCUUGAUCCGAAAUUGGAACCAUUUCCAGAACCAAGAGAAGAUGAUACCGAAGUUGUUAAGGCUGCAAGGAAACGUCGUGAAGAUGAUGAAUUGAUGUGCCGGGGUCACAUACUCAAUACGCUUUCUAACAGGUUAUACGAUCUCUACAAUUCUAUGACUUCUCCGGUGGAAAUUUGGAAUGCUCUUGAGUACAAAUACAAAACAGAGAAAGAAGGUACUGACAAAUUCCUUGUAUCUAAAUAUUUUGAAUUUAUUAUGGUAGACACAAAAUCUAUUCUUGAUCAAAUACAUGAGUUACAAAUUAUUGUUGCUAAGCUUCGAGAGUUAAAAGUUGAAAUUUCUGAAUCAUUUCAAGUUGGGGCUAUUAUUGCUAAAUUGCCUCAAAGUUGGGAUGAUUAUAAAAAGAAACUCCUUCAUAGUAAAGAGAACAUAACUUUAGAAGAAUUGCAAAAACACUUGGUAAUUGAAGAAGAGACUAGGUCUCGCGAAUCCAAGGAUAAGCAUGAUUCUACUAAAGUUAAUGUUGUUGAAGCUAGUAAAUUCUCAAAGAAUUUUAAAGUCAAGAAUGACAAGAAAUUCAAGAAGUCCAGCACACAAAAGUUUUCUGGAAAUUGUUUCUUUUGUGGUAAGAAAGGCCAUCGCCAAAGUGAUUGCAGAUUCAAGAAGAAAAAGGAAGAAGUGAAUUCCCAUAAAGCUAAUGUUAUUGAAAACAAAUCUGAAGAGAUUUGUGCUAUGGUUUCUGAAAUGCAAAUUGGCAUGACUACCGAAACCAAUAUGGCUGAAACUAAGUCCUAUGAUUGGUGGCUCGAUUCGGGUGCAACAAUUCAUGUUUGUAAUGAUAAGAAAUUUUUCUUAUCAUACAAAGAAGAAACGGAAGGACAAAUGGUUCUCAUGGGGAACAAUAAUGCAGCCAUAGUAGCAGGGAAAGGAGUAGUUGAGAUCAACUUCACUUCUGGAAAGAAAGUCACAUUGUAUAAUGUCUUUCAUGUACCUUCUGUUAGAAAGAAUCUUAUUUCUGCUAGUUGUAUGUGUAAGCAUGGGCUUAAGAUUGUGCUUGAGGGUAAUACUUGUAUUGUCUCAAAGAAUGGAUUAUUUGUUGGGAAAUGGUAUUCUUGUGAUGGAAUGUACAAACUCAACAUUAAUAAUAAUAAUAUCAACUUAGCUUAUAUUGUUGAGUCUUGUGAUAUUUGGCAUGGUAGAUUAGCACAUUUGAACUUUAGAUCUUUGAAAUACAUGUCUAAGCAUGGUUUGAUUAAUUGCAAUGAUGUUAAAGGUCAUAAGUGUGAAAUCUGCAUCCAAGCUAAAUUAACUAAGAAACCUUUUCCUAAAGCUGAACGAAAUACUCAAAUAUUGGAUUUAAUACAUACCGAUAUUUGUGAGUAUAAUGGCAUGUUAACAAGAGGAGGUAAGAGGUACUUUAUCACUUUUAUUGAUGAUUGUUCUAGAUACACUUAUGUGUAUUUACUUAGAACAAAAAAUGAAGCUUUUGAUAAAUUUAAAAUUUUCAAAGCUGAAGUUGAGAACCAAAAAGAUAAGAAAAUCAAAAUGGUUCGUAGUGAUAGAGGUGGUGAAUAUUUCUCAAUUGAAUUUAAUAAUUAUUGUGAAGAAUUUGGAAUUAUUCACCAAAGAUCAGCUCCAUUUACUCCUCAACAAAAUGGUUUGGCUGAAAGGAAGAAUAUGAUUUUCACGGAUAUGAUAAAUUCCAUGAUCCUUAAUGCAAAACUACCAAAUAAUUUGUGGGGGGAAGCAUUACUCACUGCAUGUCAUAUUCAUAACAGAAUUACAUCUUUGAAAACACAUAUAUCUCCUUAUGAAAUUUGGAAAGGAAGAAAACCAAACUUGAUGUAUUUAAGAGUCUGGGGUUGUUUAGCUUUUUAUAAAAUACAUGAUCCUAAGUCAUCAAAGUUGAGUGCUAGAGGUAUAAAAAGUGUUUUUGUAGGAUAUGCUGAAAAUUCCAAGGCUUAUAGGUUGUUAGAUUUAGAUUCUAAUGUGAUUGUGGAAUCUAGAGAUGUUGAGUUUAUUGAGAAUACAUUUCAACUUGAUUCUAAUAUUGAAUUAGAAUCAAUUAUUGAUCAACCAUGUGUUAAUACUCCUGUUACCUCCACUAACAAUAAUAAAAGGAAAGAGUCUAUGACAUCUUUCGAACCAAGGAGGAGUCAACGUGAAAAGAAAGAAAAGAGUUUAGCUCCAGAUUUUAUUUCAUCACAAGCACUACUCUUUUUGGUUGAAGGGGAUAGAAAGAAUGUACUUAACAAAGUACCAUUGUUGUUAAAUAUUGAAAAAGAUCCAAAGACAUUUAGCGAAGCUAUGUCUUCAAGAGACGCUUCCUUUUGGAGAGAGGCGGUAAAUGAUGAAAUGGAUUCGAUUAUGUCGAAUCAAACAUGGGUCUUGGUUGAUCUUCCUCCAGGAUCUAAACCAAUUAGCAGCAAAUGGGUAUUUAGAAUAAAGUACAAUAGUGAUGGUUCUUUGCAAACUUUUAAGGCUAGAUUAGUAGCCAAAGGGUUUAAGCAAAGAAAUGGGAUUGAUUAUUUCGAUACAUAUGCUCCGGUAGCAAGGUUAGCUUCUAUAAGAGUGCUAUUUGCAAUUGCUUCAUUGAACAAUUUGUAUGUGCAUCAAAUGGAUGUUAAAACAACUUUUCUUAAUGGUGAUCUUGAUGAAGAAAUCUAUAUGGAACAACCUGAGGGAUUUCUUUUGCCAGGAAAUGAGAAAAAGGUAUGCAAGUUAGUCAAAUCUCUUUAUGGUUUAAAGCAAGUACCAAAACAAUGGCAUGAGAAGUUUGAUUCGGUAAUUUUAUCUCAUGGUUUUAAGUAUAAUAAUGCUGAUAAAUGUAUAUAUUUUAAAUUUACGAAUGAUUUUGGUGUGAUUAUAUGCUUGUAUGUUGAUGACUUGCUUAUCUUUGGAACAAAUAUGCAAGGAGUAGAUGAUACAAAGAAGUAUUUAACUUCACAGUUUAAGAUGAAAGAUCUUGGUGAAGUAGAUACUAUCUUAGGUGUCAAAGUGAAUAAACAUAGUGGGGGUUACUCGUUGUGUCAAUCUCAUUAUAUAGAGAAAGUGCUUCUUAAAUUCAAUUAUUUGAAAUUUAAAGAAGCUAAUACCCCAUAUGAUUCUAGUAUUAAAUUACUAGAGAAUUCAGGCCGAGUAGUAGCACAACUAGAAUAUGCUAGUGCUAUUGGUAGCUUGAUGUAUGUUAUGCAUUGUACGAGGCCUGAUAUAGCAUUUGCAGUUUGCAAAAUGUCAAGAUUCACGAGUAACCCUAGUGUUGAACACUGGAAAGCAAUUGGUAGGAUACUUGGUUAUCUUAAAAGGACCAUUAAUUUGGGUUUGUUUUAUAAUGAUUAUCCUGAAGUACUGGAAGGAUAUUCAGAUGCUAGUUGGGUAACCAAUACAAGAGAUAAUAAAUUCACUUCUGGUUGGAUUUUUACAAUUGCUGGAGGAGCGGUUUCUUGGGCUUCAAAGAAACAAACGUGCAUAACUCAUUCAACAAUGGAAAGUGAGUUUAUAGCACUUGCAGCUGCAGGCAAAGAAGCAGAAUGGCUGAGAAAUUUGUUGUUUGAUAUAAUGUUGUGGCCACAACCGAUGCCAUCUAUUUCUUUGCACUGCGACAGUGAAGCUACAUUGUCUAGAGCUUAUAAUAAAGUGUAUAAUGGAAAGUCAAGACAUAUUAGCUUGAGACAUGAAUAUGUGAAACAAUUAAUAACAGAUGGUGUUAUUAAUAUUGUUUAUGUUAGGACUAAUAAGAACCUAGCAGAUCCUUUAACAAAAGGUCUUUUAAGAGACUUAGUUAAGGAUACAUCUUUUGGAAUGAGAUUGAAACCUUUGCAUAAUAAAGUCACCAACGAUGGUAACCCAACUAUGUAGUAGUUGUACCGUUACUCCAUAGUUAAAUGGGUAAUAACAAGUUGUUGUUAUGUGACUGGUUUGGUACCGAGUAAUAAAUAAUCCCAUUCGAGAGUUUCGGUGUAAAUAGCUACGAGGUUGAGGUUGAGUAUUUACUCUUAAAUGAAGUUCAAGUCUUAUAGUAGCUAAAGACAUGAUUUGAAACUUCACCUAAGUGAACAUAAGAAAUGGUGUCGUUUCUAACAAGAUCAUGGUUUAAUCUUGUAAAUGUUCAUGAAUCCAAGAUAGAGCACAAGGCCGGAAUAGUGCUAACUAUUGGAACACAAUUUUGAAAUCUGGGAUAGCUUAUAUGUGAUGUAUCUCCGGUAUUUACUUAAGAGACAAAGUUUAAUGCUUAGCACACUAUUGUCUUGUAAAUACUUUGAAAUACACUCACUAAUUAAAGGUUAAAAUCGAAAGAUACAUUUUUGUAUGUAUAAGUUUAUCAUUAAUAAAUCUGAAAAAAUAUUACAAUCUAGUGGGGAUUGUAAGAGAGAUUGUUAUAUUUUUCUUAAUCUUUGGUUUGAUAUUCUGGACGAAAACGGUUUGCCGUUUCUUGAGAAAACGGCUAACCGUUUAAGUCCAGAGAGCAUGUUUUUGUUCUGGGAUAAAACGGCUCACCGCUAUUGAGAAAACGGCUAACCGUUUAUUUAUAGAGAGCAACAUAUUUGACAUACUGGAAUAAAACAGCUCACCGUUUAUUGAGAAAACGGCUAACCGUUUAUUUCCAGAAAGGUGUCAACUGGAAAACGGUUAAGCAAGUUUGAAAUUUAAUUGUCAAUCAAUACAAAUUCAAACCAAAAGAGUGUCUUUAAAGAAGUACCAUUUCGAAUGGUUGUAUUCUUUUAAAUAAACAUCUUCUUCAUUAAAAGAAAGAUAUACAAUUAGAUUUAUAAUUAGUUUUUACAGAUUUCAUAUAAGUUCUGGAAAUACAAUCUUAUUUGCUAAAGAUUGUAUUCAUGAUUUGAUAUAUCUUGGGGGUAAUUUGCCAUUAAAACUCUAUAGCAAAUCAAGAUUGGUGAGGGCAAAUAAAACAAAGGAAAGUGUGCAAACACGUCUCAAAUCCUAAGAAAUUGUCUCUAUUCUUUGCCUCCAUAUUAUUAAAUUCACCAACAUUCACAACAUCAACAUUUGAUGUUUGAUAAAAGUUUAUCUCAAUGUGCAGUUUUGAGCAGCAGCGACCUUCUCACUAUCAGAACCCUUUAAAAUUAAAAAAUAAAAUCAAAUUGGAGCAUUACUUUUAUUAGUAAGAACAAAUAUACCUUCUAUUAUCACUUUAAAACCGGCCAAAUAAUCCACUCAGUGACAGUGAAAUGAUUGAUGUAUAUAUCAGUAUUUGGACUCAAAUACUAAGCGCCUCUGUACUGUCAAGGAUUCGAAGAAACAAUGUAUAUUCAGUACUCAAAACAUCAUACGCUUUGUCUUCUAUUGUUAGAGUUGGAACAUAGACUCCCAGUUUCAUCCUCAUCCAAGUCGAAAUAAAAUCCCUACAGGGUUAAUCAGUGAUAGAUGAUUACAAAGUAGAAAUAUCGCAGCCAUCUUGAUUCACAAGUAGCAUUUAACUUCGGUAACGGAGCAUCAUGUGAAAUGGUGCAGGAAAGUAGCAGCUACCUAUCAUCAUAAAUAUGAAUGAUUGCUACUGCAGAACUCGGUUGGUUCAUGAAUAUGGAAAAAUCUGUGUUCAGAUGCUACCUUGACGAUAUUUACUGAAAAUGAUGGAUGUGUUACCUAGGUUUUACCUUAUGAACACAGCAAUAAAAAUUGUAUCUAUAAAUAAAUUCAUUCGCUUGUAGUAUCCAAUAUAUAGCCAUAAUGAGGUUACCACAUCUAUCUGCUUCUUUUUAAUAGAUGCACUUGAAAUUAGAGGAGCAAAAACCAGAAAAAUCUGGCUAAACGUUUCACAUUUUGACUUCAAAUUCUCUUCGAAUAAUCGGUAUAUUGUCAAAGUGCUUGAUUAUAUAAAUCAACUCUAUCACGUAUAAAUAAGUUUCUCUAUGGAUUUAAGAGCAUUGAAUCUACGUUGAACACUUCAACUGCCACACCUUUAAAGCACCCGAUUCAUUGUCAACUUUCUUCUCAGCUAUCAAACAGAAGUGAAAGCAGAAACUCACCGGGUUGGUGCAAGAUUUUCCAUACCAAAUAAUCCAUCAACAAAUAGAUAAAAUGUAGGAUACCCUGGAACUUUAUACUUUUCCGGCAACUCUUUCUCCUUAUCAGCAUCAAAAUUUGCAAGCGCCACCAAACCUUCAGUUGUUUUGCAGCUGCAGCGGACUCGGGGGCUACUUUUUGGCACCAGGUGUACCAUUGCCCGUAGAACAUCACUAUCACAUGCUGAUUCUUGACAAUGAAGUCACUGAAGUUAUUUGCAUUAAGUACUUCAACAUUUCUCUCAUCGAUCUUCGGCUAUGGAUUCUUCCUGUAAGCUUUGGUGAUAUCAACGCAUACAAAUUCUUCUUCUUCAUUGAGUUGAUGACGAGAUGAUAAAUGGUAGAAGAUAAUGGUGAGAAAGAGUACCGAAAGGAUGAGAAGGAUUUUUGGCGUUGACAUUUAUGUUCAUUUGUUUGGUUUCAGUUGACCAUUUUCAGACAGGAAGUGGUGAACUAAAAUGAAACAGAACAGCAUAUGAAAGAGAUAGAAGUUGAAGUUUGGCUUCAUGGAACUUUCAUUUCGCACAGCUCCUAGUGAGAAAAGUAAAAAAGAACUCAUCUUCUUUCUUUUUUUAUUACCUUUCUCGGAUAUUAAUAAGAUCGAAUCCAACUCGAUUUCUAAAUAGGAUUCCUAAUCCUUAACUUGUCGAGGAAUCCUUCAUUAGUGGUUGUGAAAGGCUGAUUUUUCUCAAUCUUUCCAACCUUGGUUUCAUAAGAGCAAGUCAGAAAGAUUGAAAAACGGAACCGUCUGAUUCGAUUCGUUCUCAAUAGCCACGAGACGAUCAUCUUAGAGUGAUUUUGUUCAUUUGUUUGGUUUCAACUUUCAAUUGACCAUUUUCAGACAGGAAGUGGAGAACUAAAAUGAAACAUAACAGCAUAGGAAAGAGACAGAAGUUGAAGUUUGACUUUCUAUUGUGGAGAGAAAUAUUGCGCGAUGCAAUUCAAAUCUUUGAUUGCUAAACGGAUGACUGAUUAAGUUAAUUCUUUUCCUAGGAUUCACAUGGAUAUGGGUUCCAAUCAAGAGAUUUUUUAACAUUAUAUCAAAGGAAUCUUAAGUCCUUAAGGAUGAAUCAUCUUAAAUCUGGCAUUCAUAAUUAGGCAAUAGGAAUAUACCACUCAAAUACAAUUUUCAUACAAACGUAUUGUCGGGUAUACAAAAGGGACUGAGGAUACAGAUGGAGCAAUCAAGCUUCUUACAAGUUCCACCAGUUGAGAUAUAAACCACUGAUAUAUUGAUGUGCAAUAUGUUUAUUCACCGAGUAAGAUAUCUACAAAAGGAACAUCCGAUGGCCAACAACUCCGGAUGGCACAUUUAAAGUCCGGUCAUUUUGGCUAAUUCACUCAUGGGUACGAAGUUGAUAGGAGGCCCGAGAUUGUGAUGGAAGUUUAAGAAUGGUCUCCGAAAUUUGAUCCGACUGGUUCAAGAGCUUGUCUUCAAGGAACUCCUCCCCAAAAGACUACAAGAUGAAAGCAAGGGCAUAUUAUCAUAUGAUUAGAGCAUUCAUCAUGGUUCUUCCACAAUUAUUGCAAAAAGAAUCAAAGCCAGAAAUUUAACCAAAAUCUGGGCAGAAUUGAUCAGUAGAAAAGUAAAUGAAACUAUUAAGAGAUAGAAGAGAUUCAAACCUUAAUACUGCUGAGCGUCAAUUCACCGUUCAAUACAUAUUUCUUUGCAUCACGUGCGCUGUAGGCUAUAACCUACAUGUGAAGGAGCAAAAUUAUACAUUUGCAUCAAUGUAACCUUAAUCCACAAAAGUUCAUAAUGAACUUACUCUUGGAGCAUUUCCGCUAACCCCAAAUUCCUGAGAAACUCGUCUCCCAACACCUUCGGAGUUCAUUUCCACAUACACAUGGAGAAGCUGAAAGAAAUUUGAAAAAUCAUAUAAAUAAUGGUUAGAUUUUUGAGAGGUAUGUAAUCUCAAAACAAGUACAUAACUAACAUGGUGAGAUGUCAACAUUAUAAGCAAAUAUUGUAGAGGAGUUGUCAGUUGCAAACAAAAUAUAGGACACAGGAAGAGAAAUACACUCCUAAUGGUAAAUCAUCAGCAUGGUUGAUAUGCUGACACAAGUUUAGUACAAAUGUCUUUAAUGCACUUUUCAGUUAUUUAGAAACAGAAUAAUUAGCAUUUUUCUGCACAUUUUAUGUGAGGUUUCAAAUAGAAGUCCGGGCUUUAAGGGCUUCAGCUCCAGGAUAGCAACAGAAAUUUCUUCCACAGAAAAGUAAGCCAGAAAUGAGAAAAGCAAGGAACAAUUUUCAGUGAGAGUAGUGAGAAACUAGUCAAAGAACAUAAUAUUGACAAACUACUGGAGGAAAAUUUAAAAAUGUUUUGGGAGCCACAACAGUAUAAUUAGUAGUAUUUACAGGCAGAGAAGGGUCAAUAAGGGAGCACAAGCUUUCAAAGAAGCUCAACUGAUGAGCUGAUACAUAUCCUGAGGUAUGGGGCUUUUUUUUUUUUUUUUUAAAACUCGAGAAGUCAGGGCACAUGAUUGACCUCUGCCAGGUUCUCCAUUUACAUAUUGAAUCUUUAUGAAACCUCUUUCGUUUUGGAAUUCUAAGGAGGCAUAUAAUAACGUAGAUCAAGAAUAAUGGAACUAACCGAAAGGUUUAGGAAGCAGAGGCAUCAAUACAUGAGAAACAAAUUAAAAAUUGUGCUAGCGGUGAAGCUUACUCAUUUGACAUGUGGUGCUCAAAUAAGUAAAGGAUAUUCUACCAUAUUCACCUUUCCUUUUAAUGCUUUUGCAACUUCUUCAAAUGUCGAAAUAACCUUAUCUGAACCAUAUGCUGGUGCAAAGAGCCAUAACUGAGAACGGAUAUAAAGACAUGUUAAAAACAAAAAUAUGAAUUUCCUAAUAUAAGAAGAAGAAGAGGCCCCUCUAUAACCUGUUUCCUUGGAUCCUGAAAAACGAAUUCAGCAUUAUGUAUGGUCAGAGUGACCACGAGUGGAUGCUUAGUGUGAGUUACAAAGUUAGCUAUUGCCAAUCUUGUGAAUUGAUGACCUGAAGAACAAGAAAAAUGUCCAAGUUAAGGUUAUUUCAUUUGUAAAUUGAAACUAUUAAAGCAUUAAGUCCUGAAAACUCACGAAACGGAGUAGCUUUUCCAGCUUCAAGAUGAAGAAAGAUCAAAGCAGGGCGUUUGCUUUUUGGAUGAAUAUGGAAAAACUCUGCAACAUCAGCGCUAGUGGUUUGAUAGAAGUUAACAUCACUAUGCAGUUUUGAAGCAGCUGCAAGUUCUUCACUUUCCAUUCCCUGUUAACCACUAGGAUGAUUCAACAUGCUUUUGAACUAGUGAAAAGAAUGAAUCGAAGUAACAAAGUAUGAUAAGUGGAUAUUAAAUUAUAUGAACAUGCAAAAUGAAUGUCUAAACUGAGUGGAAUAUAGUAACUGAGAACUAUGCUUUAUGACUACUGAGUUUCACUUACUAAAGCUCAUAUGCAUCUUGUGGUGCUCAUGCCCUUCAAAUCUUCUUAAUAUGACAAAGAUUGUAAAUGCCAUGAUAAACUAAAACUGAACACUAAAUGCACUAAAGUAAGAAAUUCAGAAUGGUAUUUGUGCCUCAGUUCGAGCAAUCGUGACUACACAGAACUCAAACAAUUGAGUUAAUGUAAUUCAGGAUAAAAGACUGCUAUAUUAGAGAGAAUGAAACAAGAAACUAGUAUCUAUUGAUCAUUAAGUACCUCUAAAUCGUGAAGGAAUCCCAAAACCAAUUUAGAUUCAACUGUCAAUAUACGCUCCGCUUCAUCCGUUGUUGUAAUGCUGUAAGUACCCAGGGUCAUCUUCUCCCUCACCCAAGCUGAUAUAACAUCCCUGCAGUUUGAAUUACCACUGUUAGCAAUGCAAUAUUGUGACAGAAAGUGCUGUCCAAUUCAGUCCUCCAUUUGAAGCAAUUAGUACCAACUAUUCAAGGAUUUAUAAGACACGGCAAUGCCAUCAACAACAAAGUCUACAAUAUCUCUGUUGCAGUACAAUCAUCCAGUGGUAUUAUGUCACGUUCAUAUUCAUUUAUCUCAACAAACCAAUUUUCCUGAAAUUUGUUUGAAAUAAAUAAAUACCUCUCAUGAAUUUAUUGAAUUUUACAGAUGACAAAUUUGGCUUCUAUAGAGGGGGAAAAAAGCACCAACCUUGUCCUUUCGCCAAAAAACUGAAAUUGCCUCACUCCAGCAACAAACAAAUACAAAGUUGGAUACGCUAGAAUAUUAUACUCCUUUGCCAAAUCUUUCUCCAAAUAAGCAUCAACCAUCACAAGCUCAGCCUCACCCUUCAGCAUUUUGGCUGCCGCCGCAAACUCAGGAGCUAGUUUCUUACUCCAGUAGCACCAGUUUGCAUAGAACAUCACCAUCACAUUCCUAUUCUUGCCCAUAAACUCACUAAAAUUCUUCCCAUUUAAAGACACAACAUCCUUUGCGUAAAGAAGCGGCCAGGUGUGGUUAUUAUUGAGAUUGGUCAGUUCAAGUUCAUCAGGCUCUGCCUUAAGAUCUUCAUGGGAUUGUGUUGGUGGGAACAAGUAGAGUUUGAAGAGGAUGAUGGAUGAAGUUAAAAGAAGGAGAAGAGUUCUUGUUUUUUCCAUUUGAUGAACCAAGAAAACUUCAGAGAGCGAGAGAGCAUUUGAGAGCUGAGACUUUUGAUUAUUUUAUAUGGCGAUGGAAAAAAGCUAGACGUUUGACUUUAAAUAUAAAAAGUCGUGGAGCAGUUGGAAGGAAGAUAAGCCUGUUAUUUUCAUAAUCCAAUUUGGGCCGGACCGGCGUUGUGAUGUUGGCCCAAUUCCGAACGUUUUGACUUUUUGAGUCCAAUGAUCUGUCGUUCUCAUUAUUCAUACAUUUCUAAAAUAAUUUUAAAUCAUAAAAUAUCAUUUCCAUGACCAAAAUUUCAAACGAGAUUACCAAAUACCAGACCAAAAUUUAAGUUAGUAGCCUUUCAAAGAAUAAAAAAUUAAAUUAGUAGGAAAGAAAGACUCAAGAGAAGAACUCCUCCAGCAUAAUGGGAAAUUUACAAAACAAGCCAAAAAAAUUAGGCAUUUUUCAACUUUAACCCCUCCAAUUUUUUUCUUUCAACAUUAGCCAAAUCACCAAAUUGUGGACGAAAUUACCCUCCUCAUUCUCACGUUUCCCUCAAGCAAAUUCCUUCCCCUCUCACCAAAAUCUCAUCACCGGAACUUCUAUAGAUUGUCGGCGGCGGCGUAGAUCGGCAGCGGAGGAAGUUGUUGGCACUUGAAAGAAGCUAAAUCACGUUGAAAAUCUUCGGAGAUCUCCAAAAUCAAAGAAAAAAUUUGAAAACCCUAGGUGAGUUGUUAUUGCCGUUUUUCUUGUUGUUGUUGUUGUUGUUGUUGUUGUUGUUGUUGUUGUUGUUGUUGUUGCUUGGGUUGUUGUUGUUGUUUGGGAUGUUGUUGUUGUUUGGGAUGUUGUUGUUGUUUGGGAUGUUGUUGUUGUUGGUGGUGUUUUAAUGGCGGUGGUGGGUGAGAUGCAUGUGGGAAAGGGAAGAGAAGAGAAAGGGCAGGGGAAGCCAACUCGCUCGCGCGAGGGCGUGGCGUCGCGCGCGCAGCGCGCAUCUCCCGUGCGACAUGCGCAUGUCGCGCGCACAUCUCGCGUGCGACAGGCGCAUGUCGCGUGCACGAGGUGCGCACGCCGCGCGCAUCUCGCGUGCGACAGGCGCAUGUCGCACGCGAGAUGCGCGCGGCGUGCGCACCUCGUGCGCGCGACAUGCGCCUGUCGCACGCGAGAUGUGCGCGCGACAUGCGCAUGUCGCACGCGAAAUGCGCGCGGCAUGCCCAUCACGCGCGCGCGAGGUGCGCACGCCGCGCGCAUCUCGCGUGCGACAGGCGCUGCGUCGCACGCGAGAUGCGCACGUUGCGCCCAUCUCGCGCGCGACGCCGCGCCCUCGCGCUAGCGAGUUGCGCGUAGGCUCGCGCGAGGGAAGCCAAGCGCGCGCGAGUUGCGUGCAGGCAAGCAGCUCGCGCGCGCACUUGCUUCUCUCGUGCGAGCCUGUCGCACCAAGAGGCAGCACCUCUUGGUGCGACAGUUGGUGCCCGUCGCACCAAGAGGCAGCACCUCUUGGUGCGACAGUUGGUGCCCGUCGCACCAAGAGGCAGCACCUCUUGGUGCGACAGUUGGUGCCCGUCGCACCAAGAGGCAGUACGCAGUGUUGCCUUAAUUUUUUUUUCUUUUGUUCAUAAUUUUUUAAUGUGUGAUACUUUUAACUUGUACCAGAUAAAUGGGCAAAUCAAAAUUAGCAUUACAUAACCCACCCGGACCGAUUAAAGAACCGGGAAUGAUGAAGAUACCUUAUGUUGAUCACUUCCCUGGGCGUAUCACAAGUAUGUGCAAAUUAGAUGUCGUUGUUAAUGCCAUCCGGGAAAAAUUAACAAGGCAACAGUUGAAGCUGUUCAAAGACGAUAUAUUUGGGCAUUUCCUACAGUGCCGGAGCUAUCCGUUCAGUGGCGUGAUUGUGCACAAUAUAUUGCUUCGGCAAGUGUCACAUGGCGAUGGAAGUGAAAAAGAUGAGUUAUGGUUUCAAGUUGGCGACCAUUUGAUACGGCUAUCGAUUGGAGAGUGGUGCCUAGUAACGGGACUUUGCUAUGGCGAAAAAGUAUUCCUGACGAAGCAUAAAACAAAUCAUAGGUUACUUAAUAAGUACUUUGGAGGCAGGAUUCGCGAUAUAAAUCUUGGCCAGUUCGAGGAAAUAUUUAUGAACUUACGCUUCAAGACUAUGAAUGACAUCGAUGCGCUAAAAAUUGCCAUGUUUUACUUUGCUGAUAGAGUGCUACACGGAAGAAAGGAUCAUUGUCAAAUCAAUUUCAAUUUACUUAAUGAGGUAGAUGACAUAAAUUAUUUUCGAAGUAUUCCGUGGGGUCGUUUGUCAUGGGAAACAAUAUAUAAAAGCAUUGAUAAUGUAUUGAACGGCAAAGCCAAAAAAUUUAAGAAGGCAAGCGCAGAAAAUCCAUUGCAUAGAAUUGAGAAAUACAACUUUUACGGCUUUACAUCGGCAGUGCAUGUGAGUGAAGAAGUUUUUUUUAUAAUUUAGUUUUGUUAUAAUAAAUAUUUAAUGACACGUUUUUUUACUUCAUAUCUUUCCUUGUUGAAGGCAUGGAUUUUUGAAGCGAUCGAAGGACUACCAUUAGAGUGGGUGGAGAAAAUUAAGAGGAAGGGUGCUCGGAUCGUGCGAUGGAAGCCCGUGGCUUCUUCAAAUAUUAACUUCGGCGAAGUGUAUUCAUACCUGAACGAGCGUCUUGUAAGUCAUUUAUAUGUAUGUCUGUAUAUAACUAUUACAUAAUAUAUGGUUAUACUAAUUGGAAAUUUGGUAAUCUUUACGACAGGAUGGCACCAUUUUCCAAACCCUGAAACCGGAUGCAAAGGAGAGAGCCACAAAUUAUUGGAAGAGUGUCGAGGAUUACGUGCCAUAUUUGCCAAGUUGGGUCCGUAAUGUGGGUAUCAUCUAUAGUAUCAUUGAAAACCGGAUGGAAAGUCAUUUAUAUGUUUGUUUUUUUGGAAUUUACUGUUUUCUGUUUUACUUGGUGCAGCACCAGCCUUCAAUCAAUGCGCCAUCCAGUACAGGGCCAAACGAGGUGGAUCCUGACCCCACGAGCCCAAUAGGACUGGAGCAGAGUCCUGUUGAGGAUGCUGGUGCUGCCGACGAACAUUAUGAAUCCGCACAUGAUUCAGAUGACAGAAAUGAGCCAGAGGUAACUUCUGUCGUCCUGAAUAUUUACAAUGCACAUAUACCUAUCCGGCAUUUUGUCAUUACUUUCUUAUUUGCGUAAAUUGUAGGCAAGGACUAAGUUCCGCAAUGAUUAUUUCGUUGGACGACUGGAAAAAAUAGAGUCUUCCAUUCACGAGUUGAGGUCGGAACUUCAGACUGGACACAGUUCCAUUAACGAACUGAGGUCAGAACUUAUGGCGGAACGCAGAGAAGCACAACAAUAUAGAGCAGCGGUCAUGGGGUUUAUGGCUUCGUUUGGCGCGGGUGCUUCAAAUGGCCCGUACGGUGAUUCUCCGUUUGGCCCUGCGCCCUCGGUGAGCAAGUUUCAUAUGUUUUCGUUAUGUUAUUAUGAUUUCAAACCUGAACUUAUGUUAAUAUGUUCAUCUCCUCGAAACAACAGGCUCCAGAUCGAGGUGGUCCGAACGUUGAUGCUGGCUAUGGUACGCAUACUGAUGCUGGUAAUGACGACGAGCACACCCAUAUGUCAUUGUACAGUCUACAUGGGGACAUAUGUGAUGACAGUGUACAGAUAUUCACGGAGGCACCUCCCGGCGUUAGUAAGUUUGGCCGUCCGUAUCGACCGUCGUAUAUAUUUGGCAGUCCUUACUUCAUUCCUCCUUUCAAGAGAGUUAGGAAUGUCAGGCCUCUACCCGCACUCAACAUUACGGACUAUGGAAUUGAUGAAAGAUCGAGUGUGGAUAUGAAUCCGCUUAGAGGACUAGAAGACUCAAGCCUAUGUGAGUCGUUUGAUCAGUGGUUUGCCGGCAACAUUUCCGUGGAUCGGCCCGUCCAACAGUCUCGAAAUUUCUUUGAAAUACUCAUGGGCAAUGCUUCGAUGGGGUGGCUUGGUGACGAGGUAAGUGUGUUUAAUGGUCAGUACAUUACAAUACACAAUAAUAUUUCUGCUGGCAUGGAUAUUGAUAUAAAUUUACUUGGUAUAAUCCCUUCACAGCAUAUUCACACGUAUUACCGCUUGAUCAGCGAGAAGCAACAGCGGUUUCCAAAUGCACUACCACAGCGCGUCACGCAUACAGAUACAUACUUUUGGGCAUGUUUUAAAAUCCAUAAUCAUUAAUUAUAAUUUCGAUGUUUUAAAUAUCUCGUAAUGUUAUUAAUUUUCUACUCAUCGUGUAAUAGGUGUUCCUAAAGCAAUUAUGGAACAAUGGUAGUUGUGAUGUCAAUUCAUUACAAUAUGGCAACAACUUGAGCAGCUAUAUGGAUGGGCGGGAAGAUCUCAUGUCCAAACCGUUUACGGAUGUCGAUAUGGUAAGAAUUGUCACUCAAUCUUAUGGUAAUUGUGUAUAAAAUAUACUAAUUAACCUAUUUAUUUAUGUAGAUAUUCAUCCCUGUGAAUUUGGGCGGCGAUCAUUGGGUACUAGCUCGAGCGGACCUUCGCGCGAGGAGGAUGCGGAUUUACGACUCGUUGGUUACCUUUCGCGAGGACAAAACAUAUUUGCGUAAAUUCAAACCUCUUCAGGUCGUCUUCCCUCAAUGGCUUCAAGAUGUUGGAUUCUACAACAUUCGAUCUGAGCUGCAGAGUGCCGACCCUUGGAAAGUAAGAAUCGUUAAGGAUGUGCCCCAACAAUCACCUGGAAGUGGUGAUUGCGGUGUAUUUAUGUUGAUGUUUACAAUGUAUUUGAUGUUCGGGCUAAAACUUGAUUUUGAUAGUAGCCACGGGCAUUACUUCAGGAAGAAAAUUGCUGUAGAUAUAUUUACGGGCGAUAUUGCCUUGUAAGUCGUUGUAUUGUAUUAAGACUUGAUGUAUGGAUGUAGAUUGUAUUUCUAAUAGAUAUAAACUUUUGAUAUAUUCAUAUAUUUCGCUAUAAGUAAUUAUUGAUCAACUUUAGUACUCAUUAUGCAAAUGAACAUAACAUAAUAUACCUCAUUACAUAUAAUUGUAAUAUAAAUUAUAAUAAGAGUUCAGAAUCCAUAAUUAGUUACAACGACACAAUCAGUUUGGAUUCGACACAAUGGGAUUUUUACAUCUCUUACGGUUAUGACCUGGUUGGUUGCAUCGACCACAUCUCACAGUUCUUCGGUUAACAUCCUCACCGAUAGAAGGAAUUCUUAACUCUGGACGACGACCAGGUGGUGGUGCUUCGAUCGGUGGGUUAACUCUGAUUUCCUGGAUUUCUUCUGGAAUGUCCCAAUCUGUCAUGUCCCCAAUCGGCUCUACUGGUUCUGCAUAUGCCAUGACCAAUGAAUCUUUAGAGUAAUAAUCAGAGCAAAGACUUAUGUAAUCCACACGGACGAUCAGACAAGCAGCAAUUGCAUGCGCACAAACAAGCUGAUCGAGUUGGAAUACUCUACAGGAGCAAGUUCUUUCAUGAAUGUCAACUAUCCCUUCCUUCAUACCACCACCCAAAACAUGAAAUCGAUGCUGAGACACUGGCCGAACGGUCAUUCUUUCGGCCAAAAUUCUCCUUUCGCCGACUAUCUCAUCUGCCCACGUCGUUAGACGAGUGCUCAUCGAUUCAGCGACAAUUUUCCUAUCAUAAAACCAUUGCUGUAAUGUUUUUCUAAAGUGAUCAACAAGAUGAGUAACAGGAAAUUUUCGCGGUUCCCUCAUUAGAGAAUUCACGCUUUCUGCAAUGUUGGUGGUAAGUAUGCUGUAUCUCCUACCUUCAAAUUCGGACCUUGCCCAAUUACACGUGCCCACAUUAUUCUCUAAGUAAUCAGCCGCGGCCGAGUGGAGCAUCCACAACCCUUCAAGUUGUCUUUUAAAUUCUUCGUGUCCAUAUGCCUUUGCUGCAUUAAUAAAAGCUGGCUCGAACUGAUCCCAAAUAGCUUUGGACAUCCUGAAUUUAGACUUAAUGUUGCCUUUGACAUGGUAAAAACAAACUCCAUGACCAGCAGUGUGAAAUGCUUUAAAAACGGCUCGCUUGAUGGCAGUGCAUCGAUCAGAGAUAAAUACUAACUCUGGCCUAUCGCCAAUCACUCCGUGUAACUUCGUCAUAAACCAUUCCCAAGCAUCAUUGUUUUCUGAAUCCAUGACCCCAAUAGCUAACGGAUACAGUUGAUUAUUACCAUCCAGACAUGUUGCUACAAACAUACUUCCACGAUAGAGCCCCUUCAAAUGAGUGCCAUCUACAGCGAUCACAGGCCUUAUGUACUGUGUGAAGCCCUUGAUGGAAGAUCCAAGCGCAACAAAGUAGUAUAAGAAAUUAUCAUCUCCAUCCCGCUGGAGGUGUGUCACUGUGCCAUCAUUCGCUUUGGUCAAAACGUGAGAGUAUUUGGGAAGUAAGUUGUAUGACUCUGCAGGGUUCCCUCGUACUAUUUCAAGACCGACUUCUUUAGCCCGAUAUGCUUGCUGAUAUGUUAACUGGACCCCGUAUUCUUGCUGCAUGUCUGCUCUAAUGUCAUUCGGCGUGUAUAUCCGUUUAUCCUGAAUAAAUUUAUCCGCGAUAAGAUGGCCAACAACCCGACUCCUAACUUGGCGGAGGCCACUAGGCAAAACCUCAUUAGAGCACGUAUGAACAUUGUCAACUCUUCUCACUACCCAAGGAACAUUAUGCUCAUCCGAACCUCUUGUUGCGCGAAGACGCCAAUUACAUGAUUCCGAAGAACAGUGAGCCUCAAAGCGUGUCGUUGUGGACCGUGCAAUCUUGAAAUCAAACUUUUCCCGCAAGGCCACUUUGCGCAAUUCCAGUAUUAACUCAUUCUUCUCAGCGAACAACUUUCCCACACCAAUGUCGGCAGAAUUACAGCUUCUAACUAAGUCUGGAGCAACCAAGUUUGAAGGCAAAACUGGAGCAAGACUUACCAGGGGAUCAACUGUUGUCCUCCUCCUCGAACGGGCCAUCGGAGGAAUAGGUCGAUUCUCUCUAUUGUUAACAGGAAUAUCAUACUGAUGCUCAUCCUCAUUAUUGAUAGGAAUAUCGGAAUGACCAGUGUCCCUAUCAUCAACUUCAGUAUUGGAGUUCAUGCCUUGCACAUUAUCAGCUUCUGUGUUGUUGGUGUUAUAACCAGGAUCAUCAUAACUGCGGAACUCAUUAUUUUGAAAUGGAGAGUAAUGUUGCCCUAACGAUGUCCCUAAUGGUAACACAUUAUCUUCAACAUCCGCUAUCGUAAUGCCAUUAUCAUCAAUAGUGUCAUUGUUUUCGUUGACUGGUGAGUAAUGUUGUUGGAACGACAUUUGUUGUGGUAACACCUCUUCCUCAAUAUCGGGGACAGACUCGUUUGCUCUAAACGAACUUUCACUUUCCACAAAUGGCUCAGGAUUUUCGGCCGGAACUCGAGGAUGUGUGGUGACAAAUAUAGGGAUGCAUCCAUAAUUGACCACAUCAGAGGCCAUGUGCAGCACAACAUUAACCAUUUCAUCAUUAAAUAUAUCCAUAGGUAGUGAACAUGCACGAUACAUUGUGUUACUAGAUCUCAAAGUUGUCUUCAUCGACAAACUAUAUUCAAUAGGAUUUAUCUGUAAAACUUCAUACACCCUUGCCAUAAAUUGCUCAAACGUACAAUCUUUUCGAACUAAAAAUGCUGUAUUCUUCGCAUUCACGUACUCCGUACGGCCAUCUGCUAAUGUCUCCCACCAACCGUCAUAACAUAAUUGAAGUACAACGGAAUCCAUUAAACCUAAAAAAAAAAACAAAAGAGAUAAGAUUUCACGCUACAAAACCUAGUAAAAAUGAAUAUGCAGUACAUUUAUGUUGAUGAAAUGAAGUAUACAAUUUUGGAUUUACUCCGUCUCAUCGUAAGUUUCGAAAUGAUAUAUUAUACGCCUAAAACGGACACAUGUAGCCCAAGUUAUUACUUUCGGAAAAUAACUUUAAUUUAGUGAGACAGGCAGUGGGACAGGUGCCUGUCUCACAUAAAACCAGCAGAUUUAUGUGAGACAGGCGCCUGUCCCACUUGCCUGUCUCACAUAAAACCAGCAGAUUUAUGUGAGACAGGCGCCUGUCCCACUUGCCUGUCUCACAUAAAACCAGUGGUAACAAGUGAGACAGGCGCCUGUCCCACUUGCCUGUCUCACAUAAAACCAGUGGUAACAAGUGAGACAGGCGCCUGUCCCACCUGCCUGUCUCACAUAAAAUCAGUGGUAACAAGUGAGACAGGCGCCUGUCCCACUUGCCUGUCUCACAUAAAAUCAGUGGUAACAAGUGAGACAGGCGCCUGUCCCACUUGCCUGUCUCACAUAAAACCAGUGGUAACAAGUGAGACAGGCGCCUGUCUCACACGCCUGUCCCACUUGCCUGUCGCACAUAUUUUGGUGAGACAGGCAAGUGAGACAGGUGCCUGUCUCACUUGUUCUGGGCUUCUGUUUUACUCGAUUUGCAGGGGUUUCAAUCAUUAAUUUUCAUUUCUCAACUCAAACUAACUACUUUAACAAGUCACAUUGUUUUGUUAAUGAAAAAUAACAACAUUUGCAAUAAAAACUCACUUCAAUUUCGAAUUCAAAUGAUAAAAUCAAUAGAUUAAAAGUUUAGGUUAUGGUAAGAGUAUAAACUAACCUUAAGAAGCUCUCCAAUUGAUAAUUAUAUCUUCAAUUAUGUAAUACUUGUUUGAUGAAAUUUGCUAAUUUAUUGAGAGUAAUGGAGUUUGUUGAGUGAUGAAAUUUGUUAAGUUGAAAAGGAAAGAGUGGUGGAAGUGCUGGAAUUGAAAAGGGAAAGUGGCAUGCCUUUGUAAAUUUGAUGAAAAUGAUGAGGGUAAUGUAGUCCAAAAAUAAGGUGUUUGGCUAGUUAUGAUAGAAAAAAGUUGGAGGGGUUAAAGUUGAAAAAUGCCUAAUUUUUUUGGCUAUUUUUGUAAAUUUCCCAUUAACUUUUAAUAGAACCUGAAAGAACACUAUUAUUCUACGAACUAAGAUUGGUUUUAAACACCAGAUAGAUUAUAAUAUCAAUAAUUAUAGUAAAAAUAACAACAGUUAAUAAAUAUAGUAAUUAAUUAAUUAAAAAUCAAGUCGCACCUUCUUCGGCUUCCAGAAUGAUAGAGCUUGACUCCACCAAUGAAGAAAUAAAGCAUAGGAUACUCAUGCAGGUUAUACUUCUCUCUUAACUCUUGCUCAACAAAAGUAUCAACCAUAGCGAAAGCAGCUUCACCUUUCAACAUUUUCGCCGCCGCCGCAUACUCGGGAACCAUUUUCCAGCACGGCGGGCACCAUCUCAUGUAGAAAAACACCACCACAUGCCUAUUCUUUGCCAGGAAGUCACUGAAAUUCUUCCCACUCAGAAUCACCACAUCUUGAGAGUACUCAGCUGCCCAUGCAGCUACUUCACGCAGAUUGCAUGAUAUUUUGUUAAAAUUACCUUCUCCAAAUAAUAGGUCAAAGUCGGUGUCGUUUUGGUAGUUAUCGGAUUUGAUGAAGGUUGUGAGAGGUUCUUUAAAAUUAUGAUGCUGAUUGUUAUUAUUGGUUUGGUUGUCAUUGUUACUUGGCGAUGAGUGGUGACCAGAGUCUGAGAAAGCUGGAUUGAAAAAGAGGAUUGAAAGGAAUAUAAGUAGAAGAGUUGUUUCUGUUGCCGAGGCCAUAGAUGAUUAAAGAUUCAAAGAUUCAGCAUGCGCUGAAGAAGGAAGAUGAUGAAGUUGAGAAAUUGACUUUGACUAUAUUUAAUUAGGUUUCCAGCUCAAAAUCUUGACUCACGAAAAGAGUAAUUUAUGAUAUAAGAUAUGAGAAGAUUUUUGGUGCUUUUGUAGCAUUGCUCUUCAUUUAUGCAUGCAAUAUUCAUCGUAUGUAUACGUAUAUUAUUAUUAAUAUAAACCAUUUGUCCUCUGAUUGAUUGAUUUUUAUAAUAGCCAAUAACUCCAUGACAAUAUAAGUUUAUAAUAUUAUCCUUAUUUUUAAAUGUCAUUUUAUUUAUGUUUAUUAUAAAUUAAAUAAAUCACAUGAAUAUAAAUUAAAAUAAAAAAUUAAGUACUAAAAAUAAGAAACACAUGUUUUGAUGUGAAAAAAAUUAAUAAUAAAAUAUUUUUCUUGUUUUUUUUUAUUUUAUAAACAUUUUCUUAUAAUAAACAUGUAAGAAAAAUGAUUAUAAAAUGAUAAAAAAAUUAUUAUAGGAAACUUGAAUGAUAAAUAAAAAUAAUUAUAAAAUAAAUAAUGAAAUAUUUUUCUUGUACUUUUUACAUUUAAUUUUAAAAUAUUUAUUAGAAGAAAAUAUUUACAAAAUAAAAAAGUACAAGAAAAAUAUUUUAUUAUUUAUUUUUUUUGUUUACAUUAAAACAUAUAUUUCUUGCUUUUAAUACUUAAAAUUUUUAUUUAGUUUCUAUUCAUAUGAUUUGUCUAAUUUAUAAUAAAUAUAAAAAAAGGUAUUUGAAAUAAGGGUAAUAUUGUAAACUUAUAUUGUCAGGGGAGUUAUAGACUAUUAUAAAAAAAAUAGGGGCCAAAUGGUAUAUAUUGAUUAUAGUAGGGAAAAAUUGGCAAUCUCCCUUAUUAUGUAUAGAAAUACAUUAAUUCAGUAAAAAAAUGUGAAAUUUGUAGAUAUAUGGAUAUAAAAUUUUCUUAUAAAUUUUCAAGUACUUCGAAGAAAGUUAUGCGAAUUGGGCAGGAACAACAUUGUGGGUUAUGACUUUUUCAGUCCAAUGAUAUGAGGCUUUUAUUAUUUAUGCAUUUCUAAAAUAAUUUUAAAUCAAUAAAAUAACAUUUCCAAGGACAAAUUUCAAACAAGAUUACCAAAUACCAAACCAAAAUUUAAAAUGGUAGGAAGGAAAGACUCAAGACAAGACCUCCAUAACGGGGAUCUCUCCCACUUAAGUUUACUCCCUACAAAUAAAAAUUGGGUAUCUUUUUUUUUUUUUAAAGAAAAAAUAAAAUAAGAGUAAAUCAGGAUCUUUAUUGGUGCACAUUUUUAAUUAUUUUUAAUAGAUCUCGCUAGUUGAAAUUGAAGGUAGUUUUUGCUAUGUUAGUUAAUUAUGUUACUUUUUGGUUAGGUGGCAAGCUGAGUUAGCUAAUGUGGACUAACAAGUGGUUAAUUUGUUACAACCAACAACUAGAUAAAUGGGCUGCAUAUAAAGUAGGGUGAAGGCUGACUGUUGCUGCAUCUUCAAUCAAUUUUUUGAGAGGCUUAGAGUGUGAGAUAGAAAAUUGUUACAUGAGAGAUUUAAUUGUUUUACUUUGUAGUUUCAUUAUAAUUGAUUAGUUCAAUAAAAGCUUCAAGCCCUACUAGGUUCUUUAGCCGUGAAUGUAGGUACGAUCGUACUGAACCACAUAAUCUUUCGAGUGUUGUUCUUCAUUGCUCUUCUUCUGUUCUUGAUUAAUUACUUUCAAUUUUUUUUUCUAGGUCAAAGCUCUUUGUUAUUGAUUGAUUGAUUUAGUUAAGAAUCAAGUUAUGGAGUUUCAUAACAAAUUGGUAUCAGAGCCUUGAACCUCUAUGUUCUUGAUCUUCGAAUGGCAAGUACCAAAUUUGAUCUUGAAAAAUGCAAUGGUGAGAAUGACUUCUACUUAUGGAGUCUUAAGAUGUGUGCAAUUUUGAUUCGACAAGGGCUUGAUAAUGCUCUUGAAUAUGAUGAAGACAAAAAACGAAAGAAAAAGAAGGGAGAUGGUUCUUCAAGUUUAGGUGGGGACAUGAGAUCCAUAAACAAUAAAGCUCACAACACCAUCAUCUUGCAUCUUUCAGAUGAAGUGUUGAGAGAAGUGGCACAUGAAAAAUCUACCUUUGGUUUAUGGUCAAAAUGUGAAGAGCUUUUCUUAAGGAAAUCAUUGGCCAAGAGGUUAUAUAUGAAGAGGAAGUUGUACACGUUCUCAAUGAAAGAGGGGAGAACUAUGAAAGAUCAUCUAGAUGAGUUCAACAAGCUAAUAUUGGAUCUUGAGAUUGUUAAUAUCAAUCUUGAAGAUGAAGAAAGAGCUCUUAUUCUUUUGAGCUCACUUCCAGAUUCGUAUGAGCAUUUUGUGGGCACUUUGUUAUAUCAAAGACAUGUUAGUUGUACUUAUUAUCAACUCUAAAACAAGACUUAAAAGAAAAUAAUAAUAAUAAUAACAACAACGAUAAUAGUAAAUAUAAAUUAAUCUAACUAAAGAAAAAGCCAACUAUAAAUAAAAAUAGAGGGUUUUAUAAAAUUUUAACUAAAUAGUAAGAAAUAAAGAAAGUAAAACAACGAAAAUAAUAAUUUAUUAAUUAUGAUGAGAACUUUGGUUAAAGGAUCAUUCACACCACCAAACAUGCACAUAAUAUAUCAAUUCUAUCAUCAAUUUCUAUUGAAACUAUUAAUCGUCGACAACAAUAAACUCUGUUAAUCUCUAUCUUUCCUUAAUAAGCCGUCAGUCAAAAUAAGCUCUUCACCUAAUCUCUAACCAUUAAAUAAUUUUAAAAAAUCUCUUUAAAUUUAAAAUAAUGGAAGCAUAAAGUAGAGAAAAAUAUUAGGUUGAUCUAGGCAAUAAACACACAAGCUUGCAUUAUUUAACUUAGGUUAUGUUCUCCAAUUGAAAUCAUUGAUUCCAACCUGCUACUAAUGAUUAAAAUAUCAAGACAAUUACAAACAAAGAAUUUUAAUCUAGUGAUAGAAUUUAUUCAAAUCCUAUUUAAUUGGCCAAUCAAAUAAGAUAAUAAUAAGAUCAUAAAUAUUAAUUAGAGAAGAACAUAAACAAAGGGAGAUUGCCAAUUUCCCCCCACAGUAAUCAAUAUAUACCAUUUUCCUUCUGCUUUUUUUUUAUAAUAGCCAAAAACCCCCCUGAUAGCAUAAGUUUACAACAUUACCCUUAUUUUCAACUACUCUUUUAUUUAUUUUAUUAUAAAUAAAAUAAAUCACAUGAAUAGAAACUAAAUAAAAAAUUAAGCAUUAAAAAUAAGAAAUAUAUGUUUUGAUAUGAGCAAAAAAAUUAAUAAUAAAUUUUUUUUCUUGUACUUAUUUAUUUUGUGAAAAUUUUCUUAUAAUAAAUAUAUAAGAAAAUAAUUAUAAAAUGAUAAAAAAUUAUUAUAAGAAAACUUGAAUGACAAAUAAAUUUUUUUUAUAAGAUAAAUAAUAAAAUAUUUUGCCUAUACUUUUUACAUUUAAUUUUAAAAUAUUACACCAUGUUUAUUAUAAGAAAAUGUUCACAAAAUAAAUAAUUAUAAGAAAAAAAAUUUAUUAUUAAUAUUUUUUUCUCAUAUCAAAACAUAUAUUUCUUGUUUUUAAUACUUAAUUUUUUUAUUUUGUUUCUAUUCAUGUAAUUUAUUUAAUUUAUAAUAAAUGUAAAUAAUAGAGUAGUUAAAAAUAAGGGUAAUAUUGUAAACUUAUGUUGUUGGGGGGUUUUUGGCUAUUAUAAAAACAGUAAGGGGUAAAUGAUAUAUGUUAAUUACUGUAGGGGGGAAGUGGCAAUCCCCUUAAAUAAAUUGAAUGAUAGAAAUUGAAUAUUAAUCAUAUGACAUGUUUAGGUUUUGAAUUCACAUUUAAUCAAAUAAAAUAUCUAGUCUAAAAUAAUUGAAUUGGAAAUAAGAGAGGUGAUAAAAUCAGUCAUGGAGAUUAAUCCAAGCAGCUGCCUCUGGCUCUCGGGUUUGAGCUGAUUCCUCCUUUUUUUUUUUUUUUUCCCCUUCUUGCGGCUUCUGUUGUGUGUGUUUGGCCCCAAAAGCCAAAGGUUGGUUUUUAAUAACGCUUGGCCGAAUCCAAUUUAGAUUCUAAUUCCAAUUUAAAGCAACUAAUUCCAUAAUAGCCAUGCACCCACCGACUUUAGCUUAGGCAAGACUUAUGCAUGCAAUCUUUUUAAAUUGGUCACAUGCAUAUUGCAUCCAACUUAUAAAGCCAUGCACGUGCAUUCAGUGGCGGACUCAGGAAAUAAAUUCAGAAGGGACUUAAUAUAAAUUAAUAAAAAAAAUUCGACAAGAUAAUAAAAGCCAACUAAAAAAAUAAUAAGUAAAAUAUUCAAUUUUAUUGACAUAAUCAUUUUUAAAACGUCUUCAACUGUUCUCGACGUGUUUUCAUAUUUUGAAAACGUCAAAUAAUAUCUUCAUUGUCAAUACAAGCAAAUACAUCUUUUUCUAUGUAUACAACUAAGUUAUCAUUCAACCAUUGAUCACCCAUCCGGUUUCGAAGUCGAUUCUUCACAAAAUUCAUGGCUGAAAAUACUCUUUCUACAGUGGCAGUAGCUACAGAUAGAAUUAAAGCCAAUGUAACCAAUUGGUAAACUAACGGGUACACCUUAUCCUUUUUAGUCUUAACCAUUGUCCUUGCAAGUUCACCAAUCCCUUUCAAUUCUGAAAAUUCUACACUAGAUUGUAAAUCUGUAAUGUAUACAUCAAGUUGCAUCUCAAGUGCUAUAAGAUCUAUUGCAGAAAAAUCUUUAGGAUAAAAUUCAGCAAGUUGCAGUAAUUUUUCCUUGUCAAAAGCUGCAAACAAAUCAUUUGGACAUAGACAAGCCAAACAAAUAAGCAACUCAGUAUUUGACUCAUUGAAACGAUUAUUUAGCUCUUGAAGUUGCAUGUCUAAGACAACAUAAAAUAACUCAACUCGAUACUGAUGUAAAUUUAUGAUCUCUCGAGCUUUACGGCGUGAUCGCCCUGGAAUUAAAAACAAAUCAUCCAUAUCUAAAACAUCGAUAUCAUGCUUGCUACAGAAAGUAGAAACUUGACCAAAUAAAGAAUCCCAUCCACUAUCUCUCAACUUCUGAAGGUUAUGCUUAUAAACUUCAACCAAUUUUACAGCAUUCAAAUUAUCUUGAUCUUUCCUUUGUAGUGCUCGUGACAAUUCAUUUGCAUAGCCAAGAAUAUUUUUCAUUAAGAAUAAACAAAAUACGAAAUCAAAUGAUUGCAUCAACAUCAAUAGCGUUUUAGCUUGAAAUCUUUGUUCGGAAUUUCCUUCAACUUCAAUUAUCUCAAGCACAUCAACCACAGAUGGAAACAUAGAAAUUAUGCUCAUUAACGUACCAUAAUGAGAAGACCAGCGUGUAUCAGUAGGACACUUGAAAGUAAUCUCCUGAUUCAAACCUUGUCCACUUGAAAGCUUGCCUUUACCUAAUGCUUCAAUAACUGCAAGAGCAUGUUUCUCAUGUAGAAUGUCACGACGUUUAGCUGGCACUCCAACAACAUUAACUAGCAUUGAAACUAAAUUGAAUAAAGAAUUAACUUCCUCAUGCUUUUUUGCCACGGAAAUAAGAGCCAACUGAAGUUGAUGAGCAAAACAGUGAACAUAAUAAGCAGAUUCAUUCUCCUCUAAAAUGCGCGUUUUCAAACCAUUAAACUCACCCUGCAUAUUACUUGCCCCAUCAUAACCUUGCCCACGUAACAUUGACAAACUCAAUCCAAACCUUGAAAACAUAUUAUCAAGAGAUUCUUUAAGUGAGGCAGCUGUAGUGCUAGAAACAUGUUCAAUGCCUACAAAACGUUCAACCACAUAUCCAUUCUUAUCCACAUAACGUAAUACAACAACCAUUUGCUCUUUUGUAGAUAUAUCACGAGACUCAUCAAUUAGAACAGAAAAUAAUGCAUCAUCUAUCUCUCUAAUAAUAGCAUUAGUAGUUUCAGUUGCAACACAACUUACAAUGUCUUUUUGGAUAUUUGGAGAUGUCAUUUGCAGAUUUAGAGGAGUAUUUUUGAAAGUAACAGCAUUAAUAUCUUCAUUAUGAUAAGCAAGGAAGUGUAAAAGCUCAAGAAAAUUCCCUCUAUUGCUUGAACCAUCAGACUCAUCAUGCCCACGAAAUGCUAGCCCUUGAUUUAAAAGAAAUCGAAUACAAUCAACAACAGCAUUCAAGCGAGUUUCAUAUUCACUUUGAGUUUUCUCGGAUUGUCUUUCAAAAAAUGUUGCAAUAUGUUGUUUCUAAUUCAUCAACCUUUCACAUUUCUGCCUAACUCGGUUAUGGGCACUAUUGACACCUCCUUCAUGAAUCUUUAAUUUUUCUUUCUUUUUUUUCCAAUUUUUAAAUCCUUUCCCAGUAAAAGUAUCACUGCCUGCUUGAUCACCAUUAUCUUCUUUGAAAAUAAAAAAGACAAUAUUCAGACUCUUCUUUUAUACUAUAUUCCAACCAAGAACCAAAUUCUUUGAACCAAUCCGAAACAAAUCGUCGUUGUUGAUUUCCAAAUUUCUCAAAUUUAAAAUUGUGCCCCUUAGGUUGAAAAGGACCCCUUUGUAAGUAUGUUCUUCGAACUUGAUCUCGAAUAUUACAAUUAUAACUAUCAAUACAAGGUCGUAAGCCAGGGUCAACAUGCAAAUUUUGUAAAUUGACUUCAUAUGAACCAUGACUAGUUCCCUCUAAAGGAGAUGGGAGCUGUGGUUUCUUUUUUUAAAAAAUUUCCAUAUCUGUUUCAAAUCAAAUAAAACUAUUAAUUAUUAGAUUAAAUUUCACAAUAAGGCUAAAUCCUAACAAAAUAACGAACAAGAAUAAUUAAUUUAAUACAAAUUUGAUAUUAUAAAAAUAUUAUUUGACAACACACUCAAUGGGGCUCACGGGAAAGAUACAUGAUUGUAAAUUUUACUUUUUCAAUUGCUCAUUUAUUUGCAUUAACAAAGUGAUUGCUUUUAUAAUUUAUAUAAUAAAUUAUACACCACUUUCAUCAUUUUACAGAGCACCCACUGUCUCACCACUUUCCCUUUCAAUUUUAAUAUUAAAGAAUCGCUCACUUUUCACAAAUCAACUUUUACUUUUGGAAUUUUGUAUAUAGCUAUCAGAAUAAGAAUUGAUGAACGAAGUUAAGAGAGAUGCAGCACAUUCAUUCGGCCAGAAUCAUUAGUCAAACUUCAAAACAAUAUUCAAGCACAAUACCUGUUUCAAUCUAUGAGCUAUGGUUGAUCUAGCAAGGGACGAAAUCAUGAAAGGCUCAGCGAUCGCGGCGACAAAUAACAACGAGUUGGUGGCAGACUAGCAGCAUGAAUGGAAACGUUCGUCGGUGGCCAGUCUUCGUGAUUUGGUGAUUCACAGUUUCAUGAUUUUGGGGUUUGUUUUUUUAUUCCUUUAAUUUUUUUUAUUAUUAAUAUAAAACGAUGAGUUUUGUAAGUUAGUUUUAAAUUAUAAUUUGAUUAAAUUAAAAGUUUUUAUUAUUUAAAUGGAUUUAAUUUAAAAACCCAAAAUACUUUGUUUUUGUUGAGAAAAGUCCAAAUUAUUUAAUAUAUUAGUAUUGGACUUAAUAAUUAGAAGGGGCUUUACAGUCUAAAUUUAAAAAAAAAUUAAGGCUCAAGGGGGCCUUAAGCCCCUCGUAGGCCUCAAUUGGGUCCGCCACUGCGUGCAUUCACUUAGAAUCACAUUAGGAUUUGAAUUCCUUUUUUAUUGCCAUGCACAUGCAAUUGCCAAAGUAAAUUGUUUAUUUUCCAAUAAUGCAUGUCCAUUCGAAGUUUGAGGAAAAUGACUUCCGAUUUUGGUCUUCAAAUUCUUGUUGGCCACAACUUCUUGACUUUAUUUUCCCUUUUCUUUUAAUUGAUUUCCAAUUUAAUCUUGAUUGUUUCUGAAAUUGAACUUCUUUAUGUCCUUUUUAUCCAUAAUCUUCACUUAAUUCCUAUCAAAUAAAAUAAUAUAAUUAAGUAGCAAAUAUUAAAUUAAGAAUAAAAUCUACUAAAAUAAAAGAGAUUAAGAAAAAAAUUAACAUAAUAAACUAUAAUUUAAUAAAACAACUAAAUUAAAAAUUAACUAAAAUAAAUAGAAUAUUUAAGACCAAAAAAAAAAAGAUGGAGAAAUUAAUAGUAAAAUAUAGAGAAAAUAUGCACUUAUCAAAUUCCCCCACACUUAACCUUUGCUCAUCCUUGAGCAAACCUAGAAAUAAGACAAGAAAAAGACUUAAACUAGUCCAGUUUCGUAGGAAAUCACGAUUGCAUUUAGCAUAUGUAAUAAAUCUUUAAACCCAUAGGAGGCUCUAGUGGACGAGUUAUAGUCUCGUGAGAAUUUCAGUGAUGACACCCACAAAGAUCAUUUUUUUUUUUUUGUAAAACAACAUGAAAAUAAAACAUAAAACUAGCCUCAAAGAUUGCAUAAAUCAUAUAGCUAAAAGAAAAUUUAAAAUAUUGUUGAAGUUCUAACUUUAAUUCAAUCAUCUAUUCCAUCUCUCUUUUGAUUUUUGUAGUGUGUGUCAAUAAAUUCAAUUAAAAUUCAUUCCCAAAAUCUUCAAUAUCAACAUCAUUUGACUUGAACAAAGAAAAUGACAUAUCAAAGUAAUCUUAUCAUCUUAAUUUCUUUUUUUUUUCUUUCCAUAGGCAUUUAUGUGCAUUUUCUUUUUAUCACAUUCAUUUGAUUGAUUUUUGUUUAUUAUUAUUAUUUUUUUUAUCAAUACCAUAGUCAAGAGUUUUCACUCUACCCCUUAAUAAAGCCUCCUUCUCAUGGUAGACCAUCCUCUAUAUAUUGGUGGUACAUAGACCCAAAUUACCAAGGAUAACUUUGUUCUUAAGGAUUAUUGGUAGUUAUUUCUAACUAUGGUGUCUGUCUAUGCCACACUAUAUUGUGGAGAUAAAAAUCAAGACAAAUAAUCAUUUACUCAAUCUAAAAUUCUCAACUUAGGCUGUGAAGAAUUUCAAAUUUUAAGUCAAAAUUAUAAAAGAAUUGAUAUUGGUGCUCAUGAUGUUUAAAGAAUCUCAAUUAAGAGGAAAUCAACACAAGAAUUAAGUAUAAACAAGGCAAUAUUCAACCCUUUGUAAGAACCAUAUUCAUUGUUAAUCAAGUUCUUAUCAUUGGCUUCUAUUCAAGACAAACAAUGUUUUUUUUGUGUUUUUUUUUUUUGAAAAAGAAAAAGCCAAAGCAGAAAAACUAAGUUCGAAAUCCUCCCUCCAACACUUAAUUCUUAUAUUGUUGUAAGCCUAAUGUCACGGGAUGAGUGUUUUACGCAGCAAACCCAUGCGGCACUUAGAUAACUUUGUCAAAUGUUGCUAAGUAAGUAUUUAUUAAGCACAUUAGAGUUAGAAUUUAAAAGCUAUAGUUUCCAACAAUAAUUAAACAGGGCGAAUAUCUAAAAACAAGUCUAAUAGAAAAAUUUUUUAUUUCUAGAAAUAGAAAAUUUUUUUAUUUCUAGCAUGUGCUAUGUAAUUUUUAAGGAUUUGAAGUUACAGCAGCAGAGGAAAGAAAAUAAUUUAAAAAAGAGAAAUGCUUUAUGAAAUAAUUUGCUUGCAUCCUUUAUUCAAACAGCUUUAGGCUUUUUAUAAGAGCCAAUUGGAAACACGCAAUCUACACUAGUAACUGCACUUGGAACAACAAAAGACACCCAAGACAAUAACAUAUGAAGUACGAGAAAUAAUAGGAAAUAUGGGUAAUAAUAUUGCACACAUAGUUAAUAGAACACGUGUCAAGCACCCAUUUAUUUCAAAGCUCUUAUUACUAAGUCCUAGACUCCUCUUCUCAAGCACAUGGCUAUCAGGAACGUGGGAAGCUUGUUAAAUGCAUGGGUUCUUGCUCGUCUUUGGGAGACAUAUAGGCAUGCUUGGAAAGAGAUACACGCAAGACAAUCAACACAAGAUUUACUUUAUUUCUAGGAUGCAUGGCCGCAUGGGCAUGCACUCUACUUAUAGAACUCCAUAACCCAGAGAUUACCAAUAGCACGUUCACAACUGAUCCCACUAAAACCAGCGCCAGUAGCCAGGGUCAUGAAUUCAUGUCUUGUUCUCUCCUUUCCACCGGGACUUUGAAUCAUCAUAAGCACGUCAGAAUCGGAAUUUGAUUUUGAUUCAAUGCUUGUAUUAGGAACUUCUGGAAGCAUUAACUCCACAGCGAUUACCUUUCCAUCUUCUGGAAUGCUUUUGUAGCAAUUCUUCAACAACUUUAAGCAAUGUUCAUCAUUCCAAUCGUGCAGUAUCCACUAUAUAAAAAUUCUCAUAUUAAUCAAACUAUUGUUUGUAAAAAUUUAAUUGAAGGAACUCCUCAUUAUAUGUCCGCAAAUUAAAUUAAAAACUUACCUUCAAAAAAAUGGCAUCACCUUUUGGAACACUUUGAAACAUAUCACCCCCUACAUGCUCAAUACCUGUAAAAUAUUAUACAAUUAAGAAAUUAGACAAUUAGAAUUAUGCCACUCUAUUUUCAUUACGAAAAUGUCUGUUGUUCAAAUUCAAUUAUGCCAAUGUUAUGGAAGUUCCUGGUAUACAGGCAUACUCAUGAAUGUCCUCAUUUUUUUUUUAAAUAUAGAUUCGGAGUUUUACAAGAUUUUCACAAUAGUAAACCAUUGAAGAAUAUAUAUAUAUAUAUAGGGCAGGUGCCCUCAUUUUUUUUUUUUAAUGAGGACAUGCUGUUAAACUGUGCAAUUUAAUGGCGUUCUUCAUUAAUUAUAUUAAAUCGCAAGGCUUAACAAAAUGUUUACAUUAAGAAAAAAAAAGAAAUGAGGGCACCCGUCUUAGAGAAAGACACAAUAUACAUAUACACAUACAUUAGUAGUUUUUUGGUAAGGGAUUUUAAAGUACAGGAAAGUCCGGGAAAGAUUUAAAAUCGGACGGUUUUAAAGGCUUACAGUUUUAAGCCUUUAAAACCAUGCAGUUUUAAACCUUUCUGGCACUUUAAAAUUUCGGACUGGAACAUUUCUCAUACACACACACACACACACACACACACACAUACAUACAUACAUACAUACAUAUAUUUUAUGAGAGUUCAUGCACUUUAUUAAAGUGCAGGAAAAUUAUGCUCUCUCUGCUCCCUUGGGCUUUCAUAUUUUCCAUAACCCCCCUCCUGGUUUGGCUUAUAUUAUCACUCAUGAUAUGUAUGGGGUAGCUUAUCCCCGUCUAAUUUUAUCCUAGCUCUUUUUAGAGCCCCUUUGUAAAAAAAAAAAAAAGUGCAAGAAAUUUGUUACGACGUAUGGUAUAAUAGUGUAAUGUCCCGAUAAGUAGUACUAUCUAUAACAUGAGAUUAAUAACCAUACAUGGAUGUGGUGGGACAUGCUCAAUAACAUGAGGCAGGUCGAAAUUGAUGCCCUUAAUAUAGGGGUACUUGGUAGUGAUGGCUUGAAGAGUAACGCCGAUACCGCCACCAACAUCGACCAGUUGCUUGAUGUUGUCGAAGCCCUUGUAAGAUUCAAGAAUGUUGCUCAUGACCAGAGAGGUAUAGUUAUACAUUACUGUGUUAAAAUGUUUAUUGAACCCAGGGUCCAAUCCUGCGUACUCAAAUGUAUGCAUUCCAUGGGCUCGAUUAAAU
rnacentral:lncRNA from 1 species